GCAGGGGGAAUGGUUGUUGGGGAAUUAUUUGUUCUGGUUGCUGGGGGAAUGGUAGUUGGGGCCGGGGAAAUGGUUGUUGGGGUUGCUGGGGGAAUGGCUGUUGUGGUUGCAGAGGGAAUGAUUGUUGGGUCUGGGGAAAUGGUUGUUGUGAUUGCUGGGAAAAUUGUUGUUGGGGUGUGGGAAAUGGUUGUUGCGAUGGAUAUGGUUGCUGUGAUGGAUAUGGUUGUUGUGGAUAUGGCUGUUGUAGAAAUGGUUGUUGUUGAUAGGAAAAUGAUUGUUGAGGUGAUUGUAAUUCUUUGUUGCUAGGGUUUAGCUGCCUAGCGGCAGUGGCGAUGUUCAUCGCCAUGGCAAGGAGGACAAAGAUGAGGAAGGUCUUCAUGUUGGAUUUGUGGUUACUACUGCUUGCUUGCUUUUGAUGCUUGUGGUCUAGGUGUGUGAAGUUUGGAUGAUGAAAUGUGGUCUUGGUGGUGCAUGUGUAUUUAUAGUUUUCAUGGCAUGGCUUGCUUUCUUCUUCCCACUCGCUUUUUGAAAAAGUGCACCAAUGCUUAUCCAACUAAUCAUUUGAUUUGUUGUGUUUGGUGCAACUACUUACUAGCAAGAUUUUGGAUUUUCAUGAUAGUUGCUUUUUGUUGAAAUCAUCUGGUUGUAAGGAAUGUUGGAUAAUGACCAAUGACUCAUCUUCUUCACUUUACACUGCAAACAUUGAUCUAAAUUAUAUCCUUUUUUGAAAUUUAGUUUGUGAAGCUCUACAUGUUGUUAGGCUUAUCUAUAUUGGCAUAGCUUGAGUGGAAUUAAGUUUGUAAGCUUGUGAGCGUCAUUAUGAUGGAUCACACUAUUAAUGUGAUGAUUGUACUACAAAUUAUCUUUCCAAAACUAAUUUUAUGUUUUUUCCCAAUAUGAUUCUAAGACGGAUAACCAGACAUGACUCAUCAAAUAACAAGAUAAACCGAGUAGCAAAUUGGGGUUAUAAGUUAUAACAUGGACUUUUCUCUAAGAUACACUAUCUUGUCUUGCAUGCUCUGUGAAUUUGAAAAGCAUCUACUAAUUUAUAUGCAAUUGAAACAAAAGUAGACCAGAAAGAUAAGCAAUGAAAUGAGAAUACUAUUAUGUGAAGCUCUACAUGUUUGGCAAGCAAUAAGAUACUGGAUACAUCUAUAUCUUCAAUCCUGACAAUUUUUCUCAUCCCUAUCAACUCUUUAUUGGCUGCCUUUACUGUAGUCAUCCCUUAAAUAAAAAUCACUUAAAGAUAAGUUUGGGAGCUAGUACCAGCAUCUAUCAUGUACAAGAUAAAAAACUAAGGCACAUAUAGUAGUCUAUUGACUAUAUUUAAUUUCAUGUGAUGUGAAAGCAUGUGGAGUAUAAGUUGGUUAAAUAUAAAAUUGUCCUUCAUACCAGUAGGGAAAGAAUAUGCAGUAUAAAGAUUAGAGCAUUAUUAAUAUGCUAUUAAAUGCUACAGGAUAAUCGAUAGUUCAAGUUAAGAACAACAAUAGCAUUCCAACUUUUGUUUUGUGCAAGUUAAGAACAUGCUAACAAAGUAACCUAAGCAAAUAAGUGCAACACCUUCACCUAUAAGGAAAUUUUGAAACUACACAAAAUGACCUAUUGUAAAGAAGGAAAAAAAUCUAAAGGUGAAUGAAAAGCAUGUUAAGUACAUUCAGGAUUCGGUUAUGCCUUCAUGGAUAACCUUUUAGAUGGUGACUUGUCAACCUUGAUGUGUGUCGGCAUGGAACGAGGACAAGAAGACAUCGUUACGUCGUACUUUGGGAAUUUCAUCAAACUGGUUGUGUGCGGGAACAAAUAUUUGUCGCCUCCCUGCUCAAAUCUCUCUUCAUGUCACUAAAUCCGACACUCCACCUACCAAAAUCAGCUGCAAGCCAGGGACAAUCAACAGGUUUCUCCGCCCGUAGCAUCUAUCACCAAAAGAAGUUCAGACUAUAGUCUUGUAGUUUAAAAUUUUGUAAUAACAAGCACUACUAGGUUGCUCUUGUUUGUACGUCUUCAUUAUGUACAACCCAUGGAACUUAAAAUGCAUGGGUCAUUCUUCGGUAUAUACAACCAAUGCAACCAAACAUGCAUUGGGCUUUUCUUUGUACAUCUUCAGGUUCUACAACCAAUGCAACAAAAAAUCCAUUGGGCAGUCUUCCAUUCUAGUCGGGCACCAAUAGUUAAACGAGGAGCUAAACAGUGUUGGAGUCUAAAACUACAUACAAUCAUGAAGCAGAGAGAUGCGACUUGGAAGUUGUGCUCCUGUGAGCUCGUAUUUUUGAAGAAAAAAGUAAUAUUUGUAUUUUGAAGUGGGAAAAAGUCCUAAAAAGGGAUGUUUUGCGGGUUAUAACUUACUAUUUUUGAGUCCUGGGCUGCAGGAAGGUCGUAAAAAAUCAAUGUGUUUUCCCAUUCAUGCAUGUUUCUUGGGUUAUAGGUCACGCUUUUGGUGUCCUAGGGAGAUCACUUCCCCAGUUGGGAACAUUAGGUGAUGAUUUUUAGCAAAACUCAUUGUUUUAGCCUAACUAGUUUCGAGGAUUGGUGGACAAGAUUAUCAUGGAACAAAGUGACAACCUUCCUUUUCUUCAUGCCUAAUAUAAACUUAGCAGUCAACUAAAAGUAACUAGCGAUAUCACAGAAUGUUUUUUUGUCAAAAGUAGAUACCACUUCAGGAUUCAACUCGGUUAGUUCAAUCAUAGACAUGUUAAGAGCAGGAUUUACAACUAACUGCAUAGGGAACAUCUCCUUUUAUCGCCCACUAUCUGUCUAUGCACUUUGGUUUUCCCGUAGCAGCACACAAAGCACUUUGUUAGUACCAAUAAUGUGCUCCAACUCUACACAUUAAUCAUCUUGAAUUCUUCUACUGAUGUCGAACAAUGUUAUAUCUUGAAUUCUUCUAACGAGUUCAGAUUAUACUACAUGGGCAAUUUAUCUGGUCCCUGAGAUGCAAGGUCGAUGAACAAUCGCUUCGUCUGAUGAUGAGGGAUUGUUUUUGCCUAAGAAACCAAUACAUGUAACUUCGACGCCAGAUUAAUAAUUGGUAAAACCCAAAUAAAUUAGAUCACGAGCUAAACCAUUUAAUUUUGUAUGCAUUUAAACUUUUGAUACAUAUGAGCUUGUUAAGAUGUUCGCAUAAACACCAUGGUGAUUUGAAGCAAGACAAAGUAAACUUGAACCGCUUGAGCCACUGACUUAAUAAGAACCUCCUUUCCCGUGGCAGAGAUCGUUUUUAAUACAUCCACUCACUUUGGUUCUCUUAUGAAAUCUAGAUUCCUUCGCUAAGGCUAUUGCUCCAGUAUUGUCACAAAAGAUUUUUGUUGGACCCGAUGCACUAGGUAUGACACCUAGAUCGGAUAUGAACUCCUUCAUCCCGACUCCUUCAUUUGCUACUUCCGAAGCAGCUAUGUACUCCUCUUCACAUGUAGAUCCCUCCACGACGCUUUGCUUGAAACUGCACCAACUGACAGCUCCACCAUUCAAUAUAAAUACGUAUCCGGUUUGUGACUUAGAGUCAUCCAGAUCAGUGUCAAAGCUUGCAUCAACGUAACCAUUUACAACGAGCUCUUUGUCACCUCCAUAAAUGAGAAACAUAUCCUUAGUCCUUUUCAGGUAUUUCAAGAUGUUCUUGACCGCUAUCCUAUGAUCCACUCCUGGAUUACUUUGGUACCUCCCUGCUAAACUGAUAGCAAGGCACACAUCUGGUCUGGUACAUAGCAUUGCAUACAUGAUAGAACCUAUUGCUGAAGCAUAGGGAAUGACUUUCAUUUUCUCUCUAUCUUCUGCAUUGGUCGGGCAUUGAGUCUAACUCAACUUCACACCUUGUAACACAGGCAAGAACCCUUUCUUUCCUUGAUCCAUUUUGAACUUCUUCAAAACUUUAUCAAGGUAUGUGCUUUGUGAAUGUCUAAUUAACCGUCUUGACCUAUCUUUAUAGAUCUUGAUGCCCAAUAUAUAAGCAGCUUCACCGAGGUCUUUCAUUGAAAAAUUCUUAUUCAAGUAUCCUUUUAUGCUAUCCAGAAAUUUCGUAUCAUUUUCGAUCAACAAUAUGUCAUCCACAUAUAAUAUCAGAAAUGCUACAAAGCUCCCACUCACUUUAUAAAGGCUUCUCCAAAAGUCUGUAUAAAACCAUAUGAUUUGAUCACACUAUCAAAAUGUAUAUUCCAACUCUGAGAGGCUUGCACCAAUCCAUAAAUGGAUCACUGGGCUUGCACACUUUGUUAACACCUUUUGGAUCGACAAAACCUUUUGGUUGCAUCAUAUACAACUCUUCUUUAAGAUAUCCAUUAAGAAAUGCAGUUUUGACAUCCAUUUGCCAAAUUUCAUAAUCAUAAAAUGCGGCAAUUGCUAACAUGAUUUGGACAGACUUAAGCAUCGCUACGGGUGAGAAGGUCUCAUCAUAAUCAACUCCUUGAACUUGUCGAAAACCUUUCGCAAAAAGUCGAGAUUUGUAGACAGUAACAUUACCAUCAUCGUCAGUCUUCUUCUUGAAGAUCCAUUUAUUCUCUAUGGCUUGCCGAUCAUCGGGAAAGUCAACCAAAGUCCACACUUUGUUCUCAUACAUGGAUCCCAUCUCAGAUUUCAUGGCCUCAAGCCAUUUCGAGGAAUCUGGGCUCAUCAUUGCUUCCUCAUAGUUUGUAGGUUCAUCAUGGUUGAGUAACAUGACCUCCAGAACAGGAUUACCAUACCACUCUUGUUGGGAAUAUGACUACCAGGUAUGACCCGCCCAGGAGGGGCCGGGUCAAUCCUAAUGGCGGGUUACUAAAAGAAGCUCAGUGAAUAUACAAGGCGAUAGUUUAUUAUAAGACUUGUAGUAGGACCAAGCCCAAAGGCGGGUUAAGGCCCAUAAUUGUAAACCGCCAUGUAUAAGAAAGAAUUGUAAAGAAAGGCAUGUAAGAGAAGUCACCGAGCCGGGCACGUUAUAUGAGCCGGCUGGGACUCUGUAGGCCGCCAGGCGUCAACCCGUGUAUAUAAGGGGACGACCCGGUGGCGGCUUAGGGCAAGUAACAUCAAAUCGAGAGCCAUGCAUAGCGUAUUUGCUCCCUGGUCAUCGAAACCUAGCAAUACCACAUCAACUGGACUAGGCUUUACCUUCACCGUAGGGGGCCGAACCAGUAUAAACCUUUCGUGUCCUUUGUCCCGAUUAACCCCUUUAAGCUUCCUAGUUGCGAUGGCUCCACGACUAAGUCCUUUCAGUAGGACAUCUGCCGUGACAAUUCCACGACAGUUGGCGCCCACCGUGGGGCCAUCGCACGAUGGAUUUGAGUUCUUGAAGGGCAGCUUCCAAGGGCUCAAGGGAUACGCUGUGGGCCGGAUAACCAAAAGUUGUCACAGCAAGCUCUACAUCGACGACGCAGGCUGGGGCCCCGAGGCUGGCUCAAUCGAGUACGGGUACCGGGUCCCCUUCGGCGGAAUCCACGUCUUCAUCGGCCGGAUCGGCGAGCCGGGCCCUGAGUCGGACAUCUGCACCGACCUCAUCGAGAUGGCUCAGCGAGUGAGACCUGCCCGGGCUCAACCUGCCGUGAGGCGUGCCUUCGUGGGUUGCAUCCAUGGAGGGGAAUUUUCUGAAGGAUCGAUGGACGGUGGUGAGACAGUCGUUUGCUCUAGCAGUGAGUCGUCCAUAGGCGAGACAGAUUCUUUGUAUCAGCUACAAGAUGGCGGGCUUGGGGGCUGUUCCGAUGGCAGUAGUAUUCCGGACCCCUCUGAGCCGCCGAAUCGAGCCGGAGUCUUCAUGGCUGGCACUCAACCUGGUUAGAAUUCUAUGGCUGCGGCAGCAAUAACCACUGGGUCAGCAGGGGCCGGGUCAGGAGACCCCGCGCGCCCACCGGCUCAGGUACUAAUGGACCUCAUGGAUAGGAUGACGGCCCUGUUGACUGCUGUGGUUGAGCCGGCAGAUAAGGCUCAGCAUGACGCAGAGGUAGCACAGCUACACAGAGAGGUAGCACAGGCCAAGGAAAAUUUAGUGGCGGAAGAUGUCAGGAUGGCCGCGGAACGGGCGGCUCUGGAUGCACGGGCUCGGCAGCUUCAAGCGAAGACUUUCUGGCUCUCGGUGGAUCUGAACGCAUCAAACGAGGUCACGAGGAGAAGGCACCAGAAGGCUCAAUCAUGUCUGCCUCUGACUUACGAUCCUAGGAACCUUUUUCACACACCCGGGACUGGUCCCAGUAACCCGCUGAAGGCAAACCGGAUCACAACACCCGGGACCGGGACGCCGGUUCAACCGCGGGCCAUGGAACCACCGCGUGUGAAUACUGCUCUGCCUCACUACACAGCGAUACCACCGGGUCACUUCUCUAACCCCUUGGAGAACCUUAUUGCUGCGUCGGCUCAUCUGGCGGCUCUCCCGAUGGAAGGUGACUCUUCGACGGCGAUCGAGACACGACGGGUCAGAGAACUUCUUCAGACGGCUCUGGCACAGCAGGAUGCAUAUUCUUAUAGUUGAGAUAGAAUCCAUUCAACCCCUCGCCCAAGCCGGAGCCCAAGCUAUAGCAGGCAUAUGGACUCGGCGGCCAUGUCAAGCAACACCCAGCGCCGUAACCAUCCACGUGGGCGUGACCCGGCCCCGGGCGGAGCUUGUAACUUGGUAGACCAGGAGAGGAUCCGUCAAGAGGCUGAACGGGUGGUUCAACAGGCGGCUGAGCAAGCGGCUCACCAAGCUUUUCCAAUUUAUACAGUGACCUCUGUUGAAGCAGGGGUGGCCACAAGGACAGGAGGAGUCCCUUGUCUUGUGCAGUCUCUGCGUAAUGAGCGUUUACCAAAGGACUUUAAGGGGCCUCGUAAGGUGCCCAAUUACACAGCCGACCUGCAGCCCGGAGCAUGGAUUGAAAGUUACGAGAUGGCCAUGGAGUUAUUAUAAGUCAGUGACGCAGCAAUGGCCAAAUACUUCACCAUGAUGUUGGAUGGAACAGCUCGUACUUGGUUAAAGGGGUUACCGCCCAACUCCAUCGGCUCAUGGGCGGAGUUGAAGGCACGGUUCAUUCAGAACUUUAAAGAUACCUGUAAACAGCCCAUGUCAAUCGUGGACUUGACUAACUGCAAGCAAGAGGAAGGCAAAUCCAUGACCCAUUGGGUGCGCCGGGUCAAGGAAAUAAUACAUUCAUCUGAUAAGAUGGAUGCCAGCUCCACGGUCUUAAUGUUGGAGAAAAAUUACCGUUUUGAACCUCUGAAACAGAAGCUGGGGCGGCUCAAGCAUGAUUGUAAUGACAUGGGCCAGUUGAUGGCGGCUCUGGUCAAAUAUGCUGACUCUGACAGUACCAAGGAUCCCAUGUCUGACGAAGAGAAGACGAGGAAGGGAAAGAAGAACGGCAACGGCAAGGGUCACCAGCAUAACCCGACAAAUCAAGGAGGUAAUAAACGCAAGGCUGACGAGUUUGUGGCUAACACCAAUGCACAUGGCAACAACCAAUGGCGCAAGGGGAGGCCACCUCCUCGGUCAGGCGGAUCAGGUCCCACCCUCGAGCAACUACUAAAUGAACCCUGUCCGGGACAUGGCACCCGGGAGAAGCCGGCUACCCAUCUGUGGAAGGAUUGUACGAUCAUGAAGGCUUUUAAGAAUUCUAACAUGUUUGAUGGUAACCACGGGCCUGCUGGCGGCUCAGGCGGUGGCGGUUUUCAUGGCCAAGGCCAUCCGGGUAGUCAAGGCGAUUAUAGUCAGCAAUCCGGCCAGGGCAGUCAGCAACAGCAGCAACAGCCCGUGUAUCAGAGUAACCCAAAACAGCUGAACAGUGGACAGUACCAUGUGUUUACCACCAGUUUGUGCAAGAGGGACCAGAAGCUUCAGAAGAGGGAUGUAAAUGCUAUUGAGCCGGCGGUUCCACGUUAUUUGAGAUGGUCUGAACAACCUAUUCUGUGGAGUAGGGAAGAUCACCCACCCCGGGUUGAUAAUCCGGGUCAUCUGGCUUUGGUGGUGGCGCCUCAGGUUGGUGGAUAUAAGUUCACUAAAGUGCUCAUGGACGGAGGCAGUAGCAUCAACGUCCUCUAUUAUGAGACGUUCUGUCGCAUGGGGUUGACUGAUAAGAGUCUUAAAACAUCCAACACUGUUUUUAUGGGGUAGUGCCUGGUAAGUCGGCGUACCCAGUUGGUAAAAUUGAGCUGGAAGUGGCCUUUGGAGAUGAGUAUGAUUCUAGGGCUGAGAAGCUAACUUUUGAAGUGGUUAAAAUCAAGAGCCCAUAUCACGCUCUGUUUGGACGGCCGGCUUAUGCUAAGUUCAUGGCCCGGCCGUGUUAUGUGUAUUUGCAGCUCAAAAUGUUGGGUUAUAAAGGCACUAUCAUAGUACAUGGAAGCCGGAAAAUAGCCCUGGAAUGUGAAGAAGGUGAUGCUGCAUAUGCCGAGUCUGUUUGUGCAACAGAGGAAUUGAAGUUUUAUAAGGAUAAUGUUGACCCGGCAAACAUGGCGUCUUUGAAGAAGCCAACUACGGAGCAUGAGCCGGCAUUGAAAUUCAAGUCCGCUGAUGACACCAAGAUGAUUGAUUUCGUGUCUGGCGACUCAUCCAGACACUUCAUUAUCAGUGCUAACUUGGAUCCAAAAUAGGAAAGCGUGCUCAUCGAGUUCAUCCAUGAGAACCGGGACAUCAUUGCAUGGAAGCCUUCUGACAUGCCGGGUGUUCCGAGAGAACUCGUUGAGCACACUCUCAAUAUUCAUCCAAAGUUUAAGAUGGUCGGGCAAUUUCUUCGGCGGUUUAACGAGGAAAGGUGCAAGGCCAUUGGAGAAGAGGUGGCCCGGCUCUUGGCGGCCGGGUUCAUUGUUGAAGUUUUUCACCCAGAGUGGUUGGCUAACUCGGUGCUUGUGCUUAAAAAGAACGGCACCUGGCGCAUGUGUGUGGAUUACACAAAUUUAAACAAGGCUCGUCCAGCUGAUCCUUUUGCUCUCCCUCGUAUUGAUCAAAUCAUUGAUGCUACGGAGGGUUGUGAGCGUUUGAGUUUUCUGGAUGCUUAUUCGGGUUAUCAUCAGAUCAAGAUGGCAGUUAAGGACCAGGAGAAAACAGCUUUCAUCACUCCGUUUGGAGCCUUCUGCUAUGUGUCUAUGCCUUUUGGGCUCAAGAGUGCCCACGCGACUUAUCAGCGGUGUGUACAAAAUUGCCUUCAUAAUCAGAUUGGGUGUAAUGUUCAUGCUUAUGUGGAUGAUAUAGUGGUGAAAUCCAGAGAGAAGGAAACCUUAGUAGCUGAUCUAAAGGAAACCUUUGGUAACCUCCGGGUCUACAAGAUGAUGCUUAACCCGGCCAAGUGUGUUUUUGGAGUCCCAGCUGGCAAGCUCUUGGGUUUUUUGGUGUCUAAUGGAGGCAUUGAGGCUAACUCGGAGAAAAUAAAGGCAACCACGUCUUUGGCUAAACCGGCAUGCAUCAAUGACGUUCAGCGGCUGGCGGGCCGUGUCGCAGCUUUAAGCCGGUUUAUAAGUCGGUUGGGCGAGAAGGCUAUGCCAUUGUAUCAAAUGAUGAAAAAGGUGGAUGACUUUGUAUGGAGUGACGCUGCUGAUUCCGCUUUUGAAGGUUUGAAAAGACAGCUUGCUGGGCCACCUAUUCUUGCUGCCCCCGUUGAGAAGGAGCCGCUAUUGUUAUAUGUGGCUGCUAACUCACAAGCCGUCGGCAUGGCCAUUAUUGUGGAGCGCAAGGAGGUUGGCAAGGAACAUCCAGUUCAAUGGCCGGUUUACUACGUCAGUGAGGUGCUCAUUGGAUCCAAGAAAAGAUACCCACAUUAGCAAAAACUUGUUUAUGGGGUGUUCAUGGCAAGCCGGAAGCUUAAGCAUUACUUCCAGGGUCAUCCUAUCACUGUGGUUAGCUCUGCUCCUUUAGGAGAUAUUAUUUAGAACAGAGAAGCCACAGGACGAGUCGCCAAGUGGGCCAUUGAGCUUGGGGUCUCAUAAUAUAAAGUAUGUGCCACGUACGGCUAUUAAGUCUCAAGCACUGGUGGACUUCAUUAAUGAUUGGACGGAGUUACAGACACCUGAAGAGAAGCCAGACAACACAUAUUGGACGAUUCAUUUCGAUGGGUCCAGGCAGUUGGAAGGCUCGGGGGCUGGAGUUGUGUUAACUUCUCCUCGAGGUGACAAGUUUUGUUAUGUGUUGCGAUUGAUGUUUCCUUGUACUAACAAUGCAGCAGAAUAUGGGGCCUUGCUCCAUGGUCUUCGAAUGGCUAAAGAGAUGAGUUUAAGACGGGUACGGUGCCUUGGCGACUCAGAUUUGGUGGCUCGGCAGGUGUCAGGCAAGUGGGAUUCCAAGGACCCUCUCAUGGCGGCUUAUCGCCGGGAAGUUGAUGAUGUUGUUGGACAUUUCAAAGGUUAUCAGGUGGAGCACAUUGACCGCAGAAAAAACAAAGCGGCUGAUGCUUUAAGCCGGUUGGGAUCACAGCGUAAGCUGGUGCCACCUAACACUUUUCUAGAUGUUCUUCAAAACCCUUCUGUCAAACUGCCUACAGAGGAAGAUUUGGUCAUUCCAGACCCGGAGGCACAGUUAGUAGCGGCUCUUCAUGUUAUUCCAGAUUGGACAUUACCGUAUUUGGCUUACAUGACCCGGGGUGAGUUGCCAGAGGAUGAGACCUUGGCUCGACAGAUAACCCGACGGUCUAAGUCAAUGACAAUUUCCAAUGGUGAGUUGUAUCAUCGCAGCGUCACUGGAGUGUUUCAACGUUGUGUCUCUCCCGAAGAAGGUCAAGAAAUUCUUCGUGAGAUCCAUGAAGGGGAUUGUGGUCAUCACGCUGGUUCAAAGUCUCUUGUGGCUAAAGCUUUUCGUCAUUGUUUUUACUGGCUAACGGCUCACGCUGAUGCAGAGGAUCUGGUCAGUAGGUGUGAUGGGUGUCAAAAAUUUGCACGACGAGCGCACGUGCCGGCUUAAGAAUUGCGGAUGAUUCCAAUCACUUGGCCGUUUGCAGUCUGGGGGCUUGACAUGGUUGGACCUUUUAAAAGAUCCAAGGAUAAAAAGACACAUCUUUUGGUGGUAGUUCACAAAUUUACAAAAUGGGUUGAGGCAGAGCCGGUUAGUAAGUGUGAUGCAGCCACGAUGGUUCAGUUCAUGAAAAAGGUGAUCUUUCGUUUUGGCUUUCCACAUAGCAUUAUAACUGACAAUGGUACUAAUCUGUCCAAAGGCAACAUGGAGGAGUUUUGUCAAUGUGAGCAUAUCCGGCUUGAUGUUUUGUCUGUAGCUCACCCCCAAUCCAAUGGUCAAGCUGAGAGAGCAAAUCAGGAAAUCCUAAAAGGUCUCAAGCCCGACUUAUGGUUCGUUUACAACGGACGCCGGGUUGUUGGGUGGAGGAAUUACCCUCGGUGCUGUGGAGUAUCAAUACCACUCCUAACAGAUCUACAGGUUAUACACCUUUCUUCAUGGUUUAUGGAGCAGAAGCAGUUCUGCCUAGUGACAUCCGUCAUGACUCACCUCGCGUGGCGGCCUAUGUUGAAGCUGAUAAUGAACAAGCCCGACAGGAUGCACUUGACUUGUUAGAUGAGGAGAGAGAUUUGGCAGUGGCUCAAUCAGCAAUUUAUCAACAAGACUUGCGCCGUUAUCACAGCCGCCGGGUUAAGUCCAGAACCUUUCAAGAAGGUGACCUAGUGCUCCGGCUCAUCCAGGAUCUGUCUGAUGCACACAAGCUAUCCCCGCCUUGGGAAGGACCCUUUGUGGUCAACAAGAACUUAAACAAUGGGUCAUAUUACCUCAUUGAUGUUCGAGAGCACAAAGACCCACGUAAGUCGGAGGAGGAGACCCGCCGGCCGUGGAACAUCGCUCAGCUUCGGCCAUACUACACUUAAACCAUCGGCUCUCAUCAUGUACAUACUUUGACGUUGUAUAUAAUAUGAUAAGUAAUAAAGCAGGACCUCUGUCCUUUUUCCCCUUCAAUGAUCAUAUAUCUUUAUUAUUUUCAUUAUUUAAAAUGACCAUUAGGGGGCUGAUCGUAUCCGAAUCUAGCUUAACCCUUUUGGUCCGGCUCAUGAUCGUAUUCGAAUCUAGCCGUAAAACUCAUGGUCACUUGGGGGCUUCCUGUUCAAACAUAGGUCGUAUUCGAACCAAAGAGAACAUAGCUGUCGUAACCCUCUUGAUCGGCUCAAAGCCAAACUCACUAGGGGGCUUCUUGAUCGUAUCUGAAUCAUAGCUUAACCCCUUUUUGGGUCCAACUUGGAUCGUAUUCGAAUCAGGGUCGUUAAAAACCUCUCAAGGUCAUUUGGGGGCUUCCUAUUCAAACAUAGGUCGUAUUCGAACCAAAGAGAACAUAGCUGUCGGUACCCUCUUGAUCGGCGCAACGCCAAAGCCACUGGGGGCUAUAUGAUCGUAUCCGAAUCUUAGCUUAACCCCUUUGGUCCGGUUUACUGAUCGUAUUCGAAUUAGAAGCCUCCAGUUUUUAUUUAAAUGUUUGAUUUACAUUGUCUGAAGCCUAGUGUUUUAUCUUACUAUUUUUAUCGUCUCAAAUCUAACUGUUAGUAUGGUUUCAAAUUAAACCGGCUUGGCUAUUUGACAAUGUGUCGCCAAGGCAUAACAGUCAUCAGACAUAUGGAAGUAUUGACUUCUAAAAAAGAUUGGGUUAUCAACCUCAUCAUCCGGGUCAUGUAAACCGACAGUCCAUGUUCAAAAACCACAGGUAUGACAGUGUCAUUCAUGAACAGACUUCCCUGGGUUUUUCGUCAGUCAAAGGAUUUUUCAGCCUUGUUUAUCUUACAUCUGGUUCUAUUUUUUCCACUAUGAUAAUUUCAUAAUCAUGUACCGGGUGUUUUGACCCGUCCGGUGCUAAGCCACCGGGACAGUUUUUUUCAUCUUUUACAGGAACAGAGUUAAAACAUUACAGAUGUAACCACGAUGUAAUGCAUAUAUAUAUUGACAUCAUGGGCAAAGAGUCAUAUGAAACAUCUUAUGCACGAUGGCAUAGGCAAAAUAUGCAAUUUUCAAACUAACCUAUUACAAGGCAUUGAGAGCCCAAAAGGUUAAACGGUUUUCUCUCUUAAGCAGGUCUUAAGCUAAAAACUGGAUUGUUCAGAUGGUUAUGACUCCUCCCUGGCCGUUUCACCUCCCUCCACUGGUUGGAAGCUGGGAUUGGACCAGUCAAAGCCGUUCAGAGCAAUGAACUCAGCCUCAUCGUCAAUUAGGCCGGCCGGGUCAAUUUGCAGGGCAAAAGUGUGUUGACGAACCGGCGGGAUAAGAUCCAUCACUUUAUAAGAGGGAGUCGCCAUCUUUUUAUUCUCCAUAUCAAAACCCGACUGAUAUUUUUCGAUGUUGGUCUCCUCACCAAGAAUGGUAGCCUGAGGACGAACUCCCCUCACACAAGCAAUAAAGUCAUCUUGCUCAAACGGAGUCCCGUCUUCCUUCAUGGUAGGGUACCCCUUAGCCACGUCCACCGGGUGUAAAUCGGGCACCCAGGCUUUGGAGCGGCUCAGGGCAGUCAGGGCUCCGACUCUGGCACAAGAUCGUUUGACCUCUUGAAAUCUGGCGGGUAAGAUCGAUAACUUCUUCAAAACAUCACUUAAACGGUUGGGUCCUUGGUUGGCAGGGGAUAUAUAUAGUAGAAAGUGCUCGUUGAGCACCAGUGUACAGUUGCUCCACCAAGGUAUAAACCGCCUUCAGUUUUGUCACACUAUCUUGACUCAGAUAUUUUACUUCGUGGACCUGUGAGUACUUUUUAACAAAGGCUCAGCAGGCGGCUUAUAUUUCUGGUUAAAAUAAAGUAUAAGUGACUAAUGCAAAUGACUUACCAAAGAUGGCGGAGACCAUUUGAUACACACGGUUUUUUAAGCCGGUGAGCUCCAUGGUAACCUCCUCAAGAGUCGCCUCUGCUGUCUUGGCACGUUGUGUCAGCAAGGUCUUCUCAUCGGCCCAGGAUUUCUUCUUCUCAGUCACACUGGUCUUCAAUUUUUCAGUUUUAGAGAGACUCAAUUGGAGUUUGGAGUUAGCAGUCUUUAUCUCCGCUUCUUGAUCCGCCAGCCGGGUCUUUGCAUCCGUCAAUUGAGAUCCCAAUUCAGUUAGGGCGGUCUACAAACAUGCAUAGGUGUGUCAAAAUUUAAACACAAGUUAUAUUGAUUAAAGUCGCGAGUGCUUUGCAACGCAACACCACUUGGCACUUGGGGGCUAAUGUCUGCCAAAGCAAUUUUAUGCAAAAUGACUCUUCUAUGUUUCAAGUCCCAAGUGUUUUACAAAGUAACAACGCUUGGCACUUGGGGGCUAAUGCAUGAUAUUCAGAAAGUUUUUCAAGAUGAGCCGGAUCACACUACUUAUUUGGACUAAUCUAAGACAGUUAUGAAGUUAAGUACCGGGUCAUUUAUGAUAAAUUGAGCCGGCCCUUGGGGACUACAUGUGAAGUUUAUACUAAUCCGUUGAACUUAGGAAAAAUCUAAAGACAAGGUAUCAACCUAUAUCAUAAGUCUACAGAUCAUUCAGGUUCAUCAUAAUCUGAAGACUUGGGGGCUGGCAGAGUAUAUAUAAACCGGAGAACGUACCUCAUAUUCUGUAACAUCCCAAAUUUUCAAUUUGGAAUGUUACACGUUAGGUCAUCAUGCAUAUCAUAUUUUAUUUUUCUUUUGGUUUUGAUCCUAGAAAAUCCUAAGCAACUCAAGGACCCACGGAGAGAGUUGGGGAUUUCAUUAUUUACAUAUUUGAGUUUUCUCAAAUUAUGUAAACAGGAUCAUUUGAUUUUAUUUAUUCUAUCAUCAAUUAUUUCUAUUACAAAAAUAUGAGAGAGGGAAUAAAAUGACUUUUCCAAAAUAUAGAAAUAUUGAGGAUUUAAUAAAAAAUCAAAUAAGUUUUAUUUCGGAGUUUUUUGGUAUUUUUAUUUGAAUUUAGGAAAAAUGCGCGUUUUUCAAAUUGUAGUUUGGGCCCAGAUAAAUGUUCACUUUAUCGGGCUUGAUUUUAGGAACCCGGCAAAAUUUAUUUCGUGAUUUUUGGAGUCCGUUUAGUAUUUCUUUUUAUUUUUCUUCCGAGCGGAUUUAAAAAAAAACUAGAACCGACUCCGUGCCGUAACCGGCCAGGAAACCUCCGCCCGGGGCCUUUAUAUAGCGCCCGAACCGGCCGAGAGAGAGAGAGAGGCCCGAAGCCAGCUAACCCUAACCCUAGCUAAGCCGCCGCCGCCUCCCAGCCGUCGCCGCCCGCCGCUGCCGACUCGCCGGAGCGCGCGCCUUUCGAGGUUCGCCGCCGCCUCGUUUUCCGUGAAGUUUUUUUUUAAAAAAAAAAUCUGUUCGUCGUUUUUCUUUUUCGUCGGAUUUUCCGCGGUUAUUUUCUGAUCGCGAUUUCUGAUCCGGUUUUCGUUUUAGUAUAACUUUUCGCUCGUUUAUCGGAAUCAGGCGAUUCAAGCGCCUGGAGUUUCGUCUCGAAACCCUCUUUCCGAAUAAUCAACUUAAACAAGUUUUUGCUACUGUAAAAUUUGCCCUAGAUCCAGAUUACUAGAAGGAAGUUGUUUUUUUUGCCGUUUGAUUUCUUUCGCUUCGUUCGAUUUGAUUCUUUUGCCAACCAGGGUUCUUAAGUUGAACUUUCUGGUUAGAUCUUCUAUUUGAGUUUUACUUGUGCAUUAGAUGAGUACUUAUUGUAUGCUUGAUGUUUGUCUGUGAUAGAAUACCCGGAGUGCGCCGCCUGUUACUUCGAAUCUCUAGGUUUCGCGGAUCAUCAGCAAGGCAAGUAACACUUUGAUCAUACCUUUUCUACAACCCAGUUUUAUUGCAUUAGAUCAAUCCUCACACAUUGCAUGAUUAGGAUCUAAUUAAAUUGUGGGAUGGGAAGUAGAUGAGGUAGUACCUAUUACCUGUUUAUUAUCAAACCUUUGGGAGUUACUUCUACGUUUGCUUAUGCCAUGUUAUGCCGGUAGACGUGGAUUGGGUGAGUGAUAUCCAUGACAGAUGUGAGAUUUAUAAUUAAGGGUUAUCUAAGGUGGCAACCUAACACACAUCUGGGUGGAUUGAGGCACCUGGGGUUACCAGGACUUGCCUGUUUUCUUUUGGACCGCCACCCAGGCCCAAAGGGAUCAUGAGAUUUUUCAUACUAGAAACUUCCGUGUGCAGCCACAAGCCAUUAUGGGCUCUGGCAUAGUUGACUAAGUUGUGCGAACUCUUACAGUGGUAGACUAGCAGAUGUAGGGGAAAGUAGGUGUACCGGUCUACCCGUCGUAAGGUGCUAGCGCUUCUGAAAGACUGUGUCUCGGUCAUCCGUUUCUCAAACACCUUGUAGUGCGAGAAACCAAACGGAGGUGAUCGAGUCUUGUGGGGAAAAGUGCGCAAACCUCUGCAGAGUGUAACAAACUAAUCAUGGUUAGCCGUGUCCCUGAUUAUGGACAUCUUGAGUAUCUAUUACCUGGAUUAUCAUGUGAAUCUCAACAUGUUACUCUAAAAUUAAUUUUGUGGGAUUUUAAUGAUGUUACUUAAUUGGGAUUGAGGAUGCUGUCAACCAUUCUCAAUGUUUAACAACCACCAUGAUAGUAAUUAAUUUUAUUCCUUUGAAGUAGGGAAAAAUUGGCUUUACGCAAAAACUGUAACCAUAGAGCUUUCCACCAGCCAAAUAUGCAUAUAGUAUAGUUGUUGCAUUCCAUUACUCUCUAUGUGUUACCUUGCCAGCAUAUUCCAUGUGCUGACCCGUUUCGGGCUGCAACGUUAAUGUUGCAGACUUUUCAGAUGACGAUUGAGGAAUUUUAGGUCGUGGUUCUAUACUCAGUGAUGCCGUUGGAGUUGAUGGACUCACUUAUCUUCCAAGCCUUCCGCUGUUAUCGUUAUUAGAUGGCCUUAAGCCAUAUUUAUUGUAAUAAGUUCUCUUUUGAGACACUCGAUGUAAUAAGUGUGUGAUUGCUACUCUGCUAUAAAUCCUCCGAGUACUGUGUGGUGUCAGCAUUACUGAUCCAAGGAUGACAUCGGAGCACAGAGAUCAGACUGUUUAAGGUCUGGUCGCUACAUAUUCCAGUUGCAAUUGCUUGACCAUCUCAAUUUCCGAGUCACGGCUGGAAUGCACAGGACUGAGAUAGCCGGACAGCAUGUCACUAACAUUCAGAUGAGCAUAGUGAGAGAUAUCAAAUUGUACUUUCUGUCUUUCCAAGGCCUCCUGUUUAGCAGAAUGCCUGGCCAGCACAGUCGGAUUACCCGGCGCAACAAAUCUGCUGCCAGUGAUCAAAACGUCAUGGUCAGAAGAUGCUGGCAGGUUAGCUGAACCGGACGGUCUGACGGUGGAUGGAUCGACAAUGGUUUCGUCAGCUGACGGCUCAGGAGGGUCCAAUUGAGCAUGGACAGCUAAAUCUUCUGGCGCUUCAGAUUGAGUGGGAGGAGUUGAUGUUGCCAGUUCAGGUGCAGGAUUUUUUGGGUCCUCUGCCGGUUUAAUCACCUUGGCUUUCUUGGACUUUGCUUGACCGCUAAGAAAGAUUUUUAUGAAAUAGUUAGUAUAAUGAUGCAGUUUUAAAAAUGUAGAGGAAAGAUGAUUUUCCUUACCCAUGGGCAGUCUUGAAAGCCGGAAAUUGAGUUUGGGAUGAGUCGCCAGAAGAGCGAGAGACCUCCUGCAAAGGUAAAAUAAAGUUAAGAAUAUAAGGAAAUAAAUUCAUGGAUAAAAACAAAGGACAAAGGUGAAAGAAACCUCAUUCUGGCGUUUUUGAGGAGUUUUUUCUAAGUCGAAAGGUGGUUCAUCAUCAUCAUUAGUCCGGGCCAGAUGGCGGCUCUCAUGUUGCUGCUUUUUCAAAAGAAAAUGAGGGUCCAAAUAAGCCAAAGGGUGCAAAAACCUUACUUUCCGGGUUACCAGUCGAAGUUUCUGUCUCGGCAAAGGGGCUGAGUCGUAGGAAAUAGUUACCUCUUCUUCCGCGGCCUGGCUGGCCCCCGUGUCAUCCUGGCAAUAGUCAGUGUCAAUAAGAUAGUUGAAAAUUUGGCCAAGGGAGAAAGGGCUACCUCCGACUCAGAAACAUCAUCAAGCUGGAAGAUGUCAGAUGCAGUCUUCUUCUUGGGCUUCCGGGUCGUUCUCUUGGCGGCUACGGCAGCGGAUCUAGCCUUCUUGGUAGCUUCAUGAUCAUACUUGGCCUUCCAGAAGUCAGAUUUGUCCUGUAAACAAAUAAAGAGGUUAAAAGGUCAUGCAAGUAUUUAAACUACUGAGGUAAACACAAAAAGAGAAAAAGGUCAAGAAGUUACCUCUGGUGUCGGGUUAAGUUUGCAGAAGGGGUUUAAUCCAACCUUGCUGUAGUCCUCGUAUUUGCCAUUCACGAGGAUGGUAGACAUUGCAACAAUGUCUUCUUCAGUUAAUUGUACAGAGCUAUAACGCAGAGAAUCAUUUGGGCCUCCGCCAUACUUAUACAUCAACUUGGAUCGGCGGCUUAGAGGGAUGACCCGCCAUGAGAUCCAGCAAUGGAUCAGGUCAACUCCGGUUAAGCCAUUUCCCAAUAAAGCUUGAAUCCUUUUGACAGAUGGGAUAAGCUUCUUGCGUUCAGCAGUAGUAAGCUUGUCAGGGAGCACAAACUUGGAAUCAAGACGCUCUUCACGAUAACCCGGCAGUGGUUUUUCAUCAGCCGGUGAUGUAUCUUGGCAGUAGAACCAGGUUUGCUUCCAGUCUUUGGGAUGGCUCGGUAAGACCACUAAAGGAAAAACGGCACCUUGUCAGCGUUGAAUUGAAAUUCUGCCAAGUUCCAAGCUAAGGCCGUUGGUGCACUCAUUCUGGCGGUUCAAGUAAAAGUACUCUCUAAAGAGCUCCACAGUUGGUUCUUCUUGAAGAUAUACCUCACAAAGAACUUGAAAAUUGCAGAUGUUGGAUAUAGGGUUGGGUCCAAUAUCUUGUGGAUGAAGCUUGAAAAAAUGCAGGACAUCUUGGACGAACUUUGAGCCGGGUGGUGAGAAGCCCCGGUUCAUGUGAUCUGUGAAAACGAUAACUUCGCCGUCUUUGGACUAAGGUCGUUCUUCGUCCGGGUCAGGAGCACGAUAAGACAUAACGCUUUUCUCUGGCAAAAAUCCAAUGGUGACAAAUUAUUUCAAGGUAUCUUCAGUAACUGUGGAAGGCACCCGGUUGCAGACAGUUGGCGCUUUUGACGGCAUGAUGAAGAAAGGGCAAGCUGAAAAGAAAGUAAUUUGCCGGUUCAAUUUAUUGGUGGAGUUACAGGUUCAUGAUUAUAGUACAGAUGAGUAAUGGCGGCUUAAGUAAGGGCUAAUGACAUGUAAAGGAAAAAUAAGCCGGAGUCAUAAGCCGCCAUGACUAAAAAGUAUUUGAAGGUUGCCAGAAUCAAAAUUGACUAAAGUGUUGAGACAAACAGGUUUCCCAAGUUGUGGCUAUUAUUAUGGAUCAAAAUGGUUCAGAAAAUAAAAAUAAAGUUAGACCUAGAAAACGAGCACAGAGGAGUUUGUCAGCUCUAAAGAGGCAUUUAUACAGGAGAAGGGGAUCUGUUAGCUUCAAAAAUGGAUGAGAAAUAGCUACCUCAUAAGUUUUGUACUACUUUUAGAUCAAAAGAGGGUGCGGUAAGAGAAGUUGCAACGAAUCUAUGACGAACAACGAAGAACACAAGAAGGAAACCUCCCGAACCCUAAUGCAGAUCUAUGGGGGUGAGAAGGUGAGAGCUUACAGGUGCGGAGCUGCUGCGGAGGAUCGCCACCGUUCUCUGGAUAGACUCAGGGUGAUGCUGCGGCCAGAGUUGAGGACGACGGUGCGCUACGGUGGCGACGGAGCUCGAGCGGCAAAGAAGGUGCGAGAGGAAGAAGAAAGAGGAAGGACUGGCCGAGCCUAUUUAUAAGGGGGUAAGUGAACGGGCAGACGCAAAAAUUGAGGAAGACCAAAGUAAUGAUUAUCCAGCUAAAUGGACGCCUCGAUCUUCGGAAAACAUUUAAGAUAAGGAUCCGUUGAAGAUGAAAUCGUGGUGUUUUUCCAAAUUUUUUCAAUCCUAAUGGUUGGUUAAUAAAAUAAGCUCAGUGAAUAUACAAGGCGAUAGUUUAUUAUAAGACUUGUAGUAGGCCCAAGCCCAAAGGCGGUUUAAGGCCCAUAAUUGUAAACCGCCAUGUAUAAGAAAGACUUGUAAAGAAAGGCAUGUAAGAGAAGUCACCGAGCCGAACACGUUAUAUGAGCCGGCCGGGACUCUGUAGGCUGCCAGGCGUCAACCCAUGUAUAUAAGGGGAUGACCCGGUGGCUGCUUAGGACAAGUAACAUCAAAUCAAGAGCCAUGCAUAGCGUAUUUGCUCCCUGAUCAUCGAAACCUAGCAAUAUCACAUCAACUGGACUAGGCUUUACCUUCACCGUAAGGGGCCGAACCAGUAUAAACCUUUCGUGUCCUUUGUCCCGAUUAACCCCUUUAAGCUUCCUAGUUGCGAUGGCUCCACGGCUAAGUCCUUUCACUAGGACAUCAUCCGUGACAAUUCCACGACAACUCUGGUGCGGAUCUUACUAUGGUUGACCUACGAGGUUCAGCGGUAACUUGAUCUGAAGUUUCAUGAUCAUCAUCAUUAGCUUCCUCACUAAUUGGUGUAGGAAUCACUGGAACUAAUUUCUGUGAUGAACUACUUACCAAUUCGGGAGCAGGUACAAUUGCCUCAUCAAGUUCUACUUUCCUCCCACUCACUUCUUUCGAGAGAAAGUCCUUCUCUAGAAAGGAUCCUUUCUUAGCAACGAAUAUAUUGCCUUCGGAUCUGUGAUAGAAGGUGUACCCAACAGUCUCCUUUGGGUAUCCUAUGAAGACACAUUUCUAUGAUUUGGGUUCGAGCUUAUCAGGUUGAAGCUUUUUCACAUAAGCAUCACAGCCCCAAACUUUAAGAAACGACAACUUAGGUUUCUUGCCAAACCACAGUUCAUAUGGUAUCAUCUCAACGGAUUUAGAUGGUGCCCUAUUUAAAGUGAAUGCAGUCUGAAAGUGCGUUAUAUCGACUAGAGGGGGGGUGAAUAGGCGAUUUUUAUGAAAGUCUUCAAAACAUGGAAGUUUCGAAGACAAACGAUAGAAAUAAACCUAUUACCAUGCAGUGGAAGUUAGACUACACUAGAUAAACCGUAGUCAUGUAUUCAAUGAAGUGAAAGGACAAUGACUAAUAGUAGCUAGGUAGUAAGGAUCAGGCAGGAAGAUAUUAAGAAGCCAAACGGAUCACACAGUCACUCAGUGAAGACAAAAGAUAGAGAAAACAUACAAUGACUUCACACAGAGUAACAGUAAGUAAAGAGAAGGGAAGGAUGAAACCAGUGACUCGUUGAAGACAAAGAUUUGUUGGACCAGUUCCAGUUGCUGUGACAACUGUACGUCUGGUUAGGGCGGCUAGGUAUUUAAACCAAAGGACACACAGUCCCGGACACCCAGUCCUGAACACGCAGCUCAGGACAUCCAGUCCUCACCGUAUUCCCCUUGAGCUAAGGUCACACAGACCUCGCCCAAUCACUCUGGUAAGUCUUCAAGGUAGACUCCCAAACCUUCACAGACUUCGUUCACCGGCAAUCCACAAUGUCUCUUGGAUGCUCAGAACGCGAUGCCUAACCAGCUGGAGGAUGCACAGUCCUCAAGUGUAAUAAGUCUUCAGAUCACUCAGACAAGAAGACUUAAGUGAUGCCUAAUUCUCUUUCGCUCUGGGUGGUUAGGGCUUUAUCCUCGCAAGGAAUUCUCUCUCAAAGGCUUCGAGGUGGGUUGCUCUCAAACGACAAAAGCCGUACUUUGAAUCUGAGUAGCCAACCGUUUAUGGUUGUAGGGGGUGGGCUAUUUAUAGCCACUAGGCAACCCGACCUGAUUUGUCCGAAAUGACCCUGGGUCACUAAGGAACUAACAUGUGUUCCAACGGUCAAAUUUCAAACUCACACGGAAACUUUACUUGGGCUACAAGCAAAGCUGACUUGUCCGACUCUGGACAAGAUUUUCUCUCAUAGUCUUCACUCGAAGACAUAGGUUUUUGUUUAAGCAUCACUUUAGUCAUUCUGACUGGCUCUCUUGGACCCCACUUAACAGUAUGUUGGUUCCUAUGACUCAACACAGAAGAAAAAGAACUACGAAAAAUCUAAGUGUUCAAGCUCCAUAGGCUUCAUGCGGUGUCUUCUCUUGUCAUAGUCUUCAAUGUGAAUAUCUUCAUAUACCACCUUUGACAUCAAUGUCUUCAUACACUUUUAGGGGUCAUCUCUGGUGGGAAAACCGAAUCAAUGAGGUACUUCUACCUGUGUUAUCCUGCAAUUCUCACAAACACAUUAGUCCCUCAACUAGGUUUGUCGUCAAUACUCCAAAACCAACUAGGGGUGGCACUAGAUGCACUUACAAUCUCCCCCCUUUUGGUGAUUGAUGACAAACUAGUUGAAGUUUUCAACGGGGAAUAUAAUGUGUGAAAUUGUAAAGGAUAAGGAAUUGUCUUCAUAAGUUACAAGGGCUCCCCCUGAAGAUGUGCAUAUAAGUAAUUUGCUUUUGGAAUGCAAAUGCACAUGGCAGGUUGUGCUUGUGGAGAUCCACUUCAACUUAUGAUGACAAUCCACUAUGCAUGUGAAAGUAUGUGAAGAUAAUGACAUGCAUAAUGGAAAAUGGAUGUCUGCAGAAUGAUCUAAGUGCGGAAUCUAUCAUCGCACAUGCGGAAUUUAUCAUCACAACACAAGGUAGCAAAUAGGUAGCAGACGACCAUCAAGUUUAAGUGUUACAACUCAAAGAACCAAAUGUUUCAAAACGAGAGUUGUAAGCACGAAGCAAAAUAUAAAACACCCGCCCAUAUGGACCCAUUUGAAGACUAUCAAACUCAUAUGCUUCUCCCCCUUUUGACAGUAAGGACCAAAAAGGUUUGAAGACAUAGAGCCUCUACUCGUUCCCAUGAGGAGUAGGUGAAGCAGCAGGAUCGUUGAUGGUGUUUGGCAGUGCAGACGAGCUUGGAGCAGUGUCGACGUGUGCUGAAGGAGGCGGCGAAGAAGUAGCAUCGUCUUCAUCCUCGAUCACUCUGGCAUUCACGGUUGCAGUAGAGGAAGAGAACUCAGGGUCUUCAAGUGAUGGAGUUCGUCGCAGCACAGCCCUGCGAGGAGGUGUGGAGUCAAACUUGAAGCGCUCAGUGAAGCCAUCCUCUUGCAGAUCAUCUUCAGAACACAGCAGCGUCAGCCCUUUCCAUGUGCGUCGAGAUGUUUCAUGAGCAACAAAGGCGUUCUUGGUGGCAAGAUUGUGAAUGCGAUUAACAUCCACCAAGAGGCUUUGCAUUUGACGCUUUAGCCAGUCAUGAUGCCUAUCCUGUUUCUGAUGAAGGGCCACCAGAAGCUCUCGGUCAUUGAGGACACGAGUGCGCUUCUUGGGUCGUUGAGCAAUGGUGCUAUCAGUGGCUUCAGUAAGAGCAGGAUGCGGGGCACGGGUAGUGCCAGCCAAAGGAUACACACGUGUUACUGCUUCAAUGCCUUCAACGUUCCGAGAGAAACUUUGAUGCUCUGCAUUCUGAAGACUUAGAGGUUCCUUGGCAGGCUCAGGAUAUAUGGCUUCAAUAGACAUAUCCACAUCAGGCAAAAAGAUCCGAUGAUUGCGGGCAGAUGGCUGAUAUGAGAUAGCAGAGUGAAGUUUGAUCAGCCGCAUCACCCAAGGGGCGUAGAACUUCAACCCAAAUAGAUCAGAGCCAGAUGCAGCAAGUUGGCGAAUGAAGAAAUCCUAUGUAUUGAAGCAUUUUCCAUGAAGAAUAUAGAAGACCAAAGUCUUCAUUGCACCUUCCAGCUGGGCAUGGGGAGAAUGUCCUUUGAUUGGCCAGAGAGUUCGCCUUAUGAUAUGAUAAAUGGUCCUUGGCAGAUACUCAAGGUCUUCAACAAAGAACUCCGUGGGAUAAGCAGCAUCUUGGGGCAAUGGCUUCAUCAUACUGAGCAUCUGACUCAUAUUGGGUUCAGUCUUCUGAAAGAUGCUCUCAACAGCUUCAAUGUGAAGCUGACAGCCAUGCUCAUAGAGAUCGCCAGGAGUGGGCAAGCCAGUGAGCUCAAUGAUGUCAAAGACUUUGGCUUCGUGAUGAACAUUUCCAGUCAUCCACUCUAGGACCCAAGUCUUUGGAUCUCUGUUAUACCCGCGGAUGUGAAGUGUGGCAUAGAACUGGAGCAGCAACUCUUCAUUCCAAUGCUCUUGGUCAGUGACGAAUGGUAGCAGCCCAACUUCAUUGAAGCAAUCCAAAGCUUCUUCCAGACAGGCAGACCAGCUAUAGCUUCAAUGUCAAGGCGCUUGUGUGGGAAGAUGCGACCUUUGUUGUAAAGAAUGCAUGAGUAAUAGCUUCGCUGCUGAUAGCUCCAGAACCGAUCAGAUGAUAUUCUUUCCCUGGAGUAGGGGUUCCUGGAGCUAUUGAAGAAUGUGUUGUCUGCUCUGAAGCCAUUGAUGUUAAAGGAGCCAGGUGCUAAUGCAGGACCUGGGAACCUGGGCAAUCUUGGGAUUGGCUUCUGGACCUGAGGCCUGUGCUCAACAUGAUAGUCGAAUUGGGGACCGGCAGCAGACGCAGGAACAGGAGCAGCAGGAUUAGUGGCUUCGCUGACUUCUGGUGCUGUUGGGGGUGAGGGCUCCACAUUAGCUUCAGCCAUGACGGUGUCAGUGGCUUCAGUGGUGUUGGUGGUGGCAGCCUCUAGAUUUUCAACCUCCACUUGACGAGCUGGAGGGUCGGUCAUGAUCACGUUCUCCUCGAGAACCGCUUCUUGGUGGGGCAGGGGAGUAGCAGCUUGUGGAACUUCUUCUUCCGUGGCUGAUGCAGCUAGAUUGUCUUCAGCAGAGACUUGAGGCCUUGGACCUUUGUGAAGCCUGCGCAACGCGGGCGAUGCCUGUGGAGCUGGAGUGGGCUGGGCCUCAUAGUCUUCUUCCUCUUGUUGGCGAUCCGCCCAUGAAGCAUCCUGUGCCAUUGGCGUCAGUGGACGACCAAUGCUGAUGAGUUCGUUGUUUUCAAGCUGAGGAAGAACUGCACCAUCUUCUACAUGGUCAUGUUGACCAAUGUCUUCAGCAGUGAUGGGAUCAGCUGUUGGAAAGUCUUUAGCUUUAUGAGCCUCUGUGGAAGCAGGCUCAUGGAUUGUCAGUUGGCGUUCAGCUUCAGGAUAGACCAUUGAAAUAGGUUCAACUAUCAAAGGCUCUGUGGGAGCAGCCUGUUCCUUCUUGGUCUUUCGUUUCUUCUUGGAGGGGGCAGUAGGAGAGGCUUCAGGAUGUUUCCUCUUCCUGGCUUCAGCCUCAGCAGUCCUUGUCUUCUUGAGCUCUGAAGCGGUUGACCGGCUUUUUGGCUUCAAGCCAGUCAGUCUAGUUGGGAAGACAAUCGGAACUGCUUCCUGCCUUGGUGCGUCGGAUUCAGCCGUAGCAGUCUUCUUCUUCUUCUUUGCGGCCAUCCUAGGGUCAAUGCCAGGACGCCCAAGGGCCUUGCGCUUCUCAGCCUCAUUGUAGGCUUGCACACAUCUGUCAGCCAGAGCCUUCAUGCGCUCACGUGAAUCCCGAGCUUCUGCACAUUUCUUCAGAAAGGCUUCCUUGAGCUCGUGCAUCAUGAUCUUGAAGUUCUUCACUUCUUGCACACUGAGCUUGGCCAUAUGCUUCUUGAACUGAGCCUUUUCAUAGUCAAUCUUCUGCUUUAGUUCAACAACGUGUCGGGCGAUGGCUAGCUCUGAAGCAAUGGCGCCUUGGAAGGCGACACUGAGGCCAAUGGGUAGCUGCAGAUCAUCAAAGCUGAUGUUUGGCAUAUCAAACCACUCGUCAAUGAAGUUGUGGAUGAUGGUUACAUCAAAGAGAGGCAGAUCAUUGAAGAUUUCGGCUUCUUCUUUGCUCUUGAUGAGUUGCUCAAGAGCGUCAUCUGCAAGAUCUUCAUCACUUGACAGAUCAAUGUCAUCAUUGCGCAGAAUGGCAGCAGCUGUUAGCUCUUGGCCGGUGUGUGGCAGAGGCAUCUUGGCCUUCUAGGGCUUGGAGAUGCGUGAUAAAUCUUCGGACUGCACACUGUCUUCAGGAGAUGCAGUUGCCAGUGGCUUCGCCCUUGAGAUUUUUGGUGAAGGGGCAGGCUUUGAAGCUUUGGGCUUCUUCAACUUCUUUGGUGUUGGCGCUGCAGGCGCUUCAUCUGAUUCAGCGUUAGCUGCAGGCUCAUUCACGGUUGUCCCUUGAACCAAGAUAUGGGUGAUGAGUCCUGCAAGGUUGUAGAAAGGACCGACGACAUUGGGUUCCGCAUCGCGUGUGCCGUCAGCCCUUGGAGCAGAAGGACCAGGGUUGAAGUCUAAUCCAAAAGACUUCUUGUUCUGCUUUGCUGAGUUCUUGGCAAACUGGAAGUUGCGCUUGAAUAGAUUGUCGUCACGGCACCAUAGUAGUGACGAUGGGUGUGCAUCUGCAGGCUGUGGCCCACGCACCAUGCAGGGAUAGAAGCCUUGUUCAAUGGCUUCUUCUCUGGACCUGGGUUGAAGAUUCUUGUAUAGGAUGUCUCCCCAUGGUCUCUUGAUGGCAUUUCUCUCAGCAUAUUCCUGGGUCACAAACCGGUAUUUGAACCAUUGUUCUGCCCAAUAUCUUCGAAUCCAUUGGAUUCGGGUCUUGCGCUGAUUAUAAUCCUGUUCAGGAUCUGUCUUGUAAAGCUCUGAGAGGUCAUCAGGAAAAUCUCUUGAUGUCCCCCCACGACGCUGUCUGCCACCCUUCCUUACUGAUUUCUCUGCAGCCAUGAACUUCAAACUGAAAGGCUUCAAAACGUUCAAAGGCUUCAAAGGUUUUCGCUUGCUGGACAAACAGGAACUGGCUUCGGGAGAAUUUAUAUGAUGCUGUAAGAAUUCUGCAAAUGAAUGCAGACUAUGAGAACCAAGGGAUUCUCCCAUGGACAUGUACCUGUGACAACAUUAAGGUGCAAGGGAAGGGGAAGAGGUCAUAUGCAUUCUCAGGAGAUUUUGAAGAUAAAUCAGUUUAGAAGACAUUGACCUCAUCGUGCGAAGACAUUCACUCAUAGAUAAGGAGUUGGUUCCAGAUUUGUACGAAUCCAGUGAUCAGUACAAGUGAGGAAUCUAACUACUUGUGAAGCAUAAGUGAAUAUACUAGGCAUGUUAUGAGAUGCAGUAGGAAAGAGAUCCAACUUGUGUGAAUAGAAACUUCUUAUGGUAGAAAGUGACAAAGCCAUAGGAUCAAAAGGGGCCGUAAAAAGAAGUUUUAUUUACCACACUUGGAACUGCUAGAUGGAGUGGAAGAGGAGGCCGAGCAGUUCGAUCUUCUGUGCCCUAACUUGGCGACGAAGGACACCUACGGCGACGGCGGAGAGGACGAUGUCCGCGGUCGGUGUGAAGACGGCGUCGGAGAGGUUGCGGCAGUGAAGCGCUUCGUCGCCGGCGUCGUCGAGGGCUAGCAGUGGCACUAGGGUUCGUGCGAGGGUGGAAGAAGAGAUGAUGACCGCUGUGAAGGGUGUAUUUAUAGGUACAGGGGCGGCACUGCGUUAUUACACAGGUGCCCCUGGCGAUUCACAUCUGAGGAACACGUGGCCAUCAUGCAGUAUAUUGGGGUUUGUUCCACGUCUCACGCACGCCUAGAUUGUCGGGUGGUCGUUCCUACUUCUCCGGGUUUCAUGUGGAGGAAUGGGCAUUGAAAACGGACUUAAUGUUUGUCUCUGUAUGUUCUGCUGACAAGGACGCAGAGAAGACAUUCGACAGUUUCAAUAGAAUGCAUAUGAUUUGGAGAGAUAGAGUUUGAGAUAGAGAGCACAGAGAGGUUAGGGUCCGAUCACAUUCACUUAGAUCAAAAGAUUCAACAAGAAGACAUAGCUAUAAGUGAAUACUGUAGAGGACAGAACACUAGUAUAUAUAUAUAUAUAUAAUCAACAUAGUGAAGAUAAUCAUGAAAACAUGUUGAGAUUGAAACCAAACCAAAUGUGAAGUCAUAGCAAGGUAAUGCCAUGAGUGAAACACUUCAAAUAGAACAUUUGGUGGUGGCGUUACCCACCGUAUAGGAAGUAUUAGACCCAGACACGGCGCACAAUUAUCGUGGCGCUCCGAAGUCAAAUUCCACAUUAAUGUAUUCACACUUAGAAUGUAUGUCUUCAUUGAUUGAAGAUAUACUUUACUUCGUGUGUUGCACAUCUAAGUCAUCAAUAUGCAUAAGGGUUAGGAUGUGUGCCUGAUCACAGGACAUUUGAGGAUUCCAGGAUAUUUAGCUCACAUCGUAACUUGCAAAAUCUCUUCUCAUCCAAGGGCUUGGUGAAGAUAUCUGCCAAUUGCUCUUCAGUGUUGACGUGUAUGAUAUCAAUAUCUUCCUUCACAACAUGAUCUCUGAGAAAGUGAUGACGAAUUUCAAUGUGCUUUGUCUUCGAGUGCUGAACAGGGUUGUUGGCAAUCUUGAUGGCGCUUUCGUUGUCACAGUAGAGUGGCACUUGCUUCAGAUGAAUGCCAUAGUCCUUGAGGGUUUGCUUCAUCCACAGAAGCUGAGCGCAGCAAGAUCCAGCAGCAAUGUAUUCAGAUUCAGCAGUGGAGAGAGAUACACAGUUCUGCUUCUUUGAAGACCAACAUACAGGUGAUCGUCCCAGAAAAUGACAUGUGCCUGAUGUAGACUUGCGAUCCACCUUGUCACCAGCAUAAUCAGCAUCCGAGAAUCCAACCAGAUCAAACUCUGAGCCCUUUGGAUACCAUAAUCCUAGAGUUGGGGUGUGAGCCAAAUAUCGAAGAAUUCGCUUCACAGCUAGGUGAUGCGACUCCUUUGGUGCCGCUUGAAAUCGAGCACACAUGCAAACACUAAGCAUAAUAUCUGGCCUAGAUGCACAUAGAUAAAGCAAAGAACCAAUCAUGGAGCGGUAUACCUUUUGAUCGAACUCUUUACCAUUGUCGUCAGGACCCAGAUGAUGCUUGGCUGGUAUUGGCGUCGUGAACCCUUUGCAGUCUUGCAUACCGAACUUCUUAAGGCAAUCCUUGAGAUGCUUCUCUUGAGAUAUGAAGAUGCCGUUGCGUUGCUGUCGUAUUUGAAUACCGAGGAAAAACUUCAGCUCUCCAUCAUGGACAUCUGAUAUUGCUCUUGCAUCAUAUAUCCAAACUCUUCACUGUACUUCUGAUUGGUGCAGCCGAAGAUAAUGUCAUCCACAUAUAUUUGGCACACAAACAGUUAACCAUCAUAUGUCUUCGUGAAGAGAGUGGGGUCGAGGGAACCAGGUAUGAAGCCUUUGCUCUUCAGGAAGUAUUUGAGUGUGUCAUACCAGGCCCGAGGGGCUUGUUUGAGGCCAUAUAGUGCCUUGUUGAGCUUGUAUACCGUAUCAGGAUGUUUUAGAUCUUCAGAGCCAGGUGGUUGUGCAACAUACACUUCUUCUUCAAUCUUUCCAUUGAGAAAGGCGCUCUUCACAUCCAUUUGAUAAAGAAGUAUGUUGUGAUGAUUUGCAUAGGCCAGCAGUAUGCGUAUGGCUUCAAGUCUAGCCACAGGAGCAAAUGUUUCAUUGAAGUCAAUGCCUUCCACUUGAGUAUAUCCUUGAGCAACUAGACGAGCUUUGUUUCUGACAACUUGACCAUGCUCAUCUUGCUUGUUGCGGUAUAUCCAUUUUGUGCCUAUUAUGUUGUGCUUCCGAGGAUCAGGACGCUUAACCAGUUCCCAUACAUUAUUCAGCUCAAACCGUUGAAGCUCUUCUUGCAUAGCUUGAAUCCAUUCAGGUUCCAUGAAGGCUUCUUCCACUUUCUUGGGUUCUGUUAUUGAGACGAAUGCGAAGUGCCCACAGAAAUUUGCCAGCUGGGUUGCCCUUGAUCGACUGAGCGGACCAGGUGCAUUGAUGCUGUCAAUUAUUCUCUCAAUUUGCACUUCAUUGGCAACACGAGGAUGUACAGGGCGAAGACUUUGCUCUUGCUGAUCAUUGUCGUUGUUGGAGGGAUUGUCUUCAGGUUGAGCAUUGUCUUCAGGUUGAUCUGGUGCAGAGAUGAUGAGUUCCUCUUCAGGAUGAGCUUUAGAAGGUAUGAUUUCUCCAGUUCCCAUUAGCUUGAUUGAUUCACUGGAUGGAACUUCAUCUAGCACAUUUGGCAGGUGCUCUCUUUGUGAACCGUUAGUCUCAUCGAACCGCACAUCCACGGUUUCAACCACUUUAUAAUGAAAGAGGUUGAAGACUCUGUAGGAGUGCGAAUCCUUUCCAUAUCCAAGCAUAAAACCCUCAUGUGCUUUUGGGGCAAACUUUGAAGUGUGAUGUGGGUCCUUGAUCCAGCACCUUGCGCCAAAUACUCUGAAGUAACUGGCAUUUGGCUUCUUGCCAGUGAGGAGCUCAUACGAUGUCUUGUUCAGAAGCUUGUGAAGAUAAACACGAUUGAUUGUAUGGCAUGCAGUAUCAAUGGCUUCAGGCCAGAAUUUUCUUGGAGUCUUGUAUUCAUCUAGCAUUGUUCUGGCCAUCUCAAUGAGUGUUCUGUUCUUGCAUUCGACGACGCCAUUCUGCUGUGGCGUGUACGGGGCUGAGAAUUCAUGUGUGAUGCCCAAGGUAUCAAGAUAUGUAUCAAGGCCAGUGUUCUUGAAUUCAGUGCCAUUGUCACUUUUGAUGUGCUUUAUCUUGGCACCAUAGUUGUUCAUUGCUCGAUUGGCGAAGCGUUUGAAGACAUCCUGCACUUCAGUCUUGUAAAGGAUUAUAUGCACCCAAGUGUAUCUAGAAUAAUCAUCAAUAAUGAAGAAGCCAUAGAGACAAGCAGUAGUAGUAAGAGUUGAGUAAUGAGUGGGACCGAAAAGAUCCAUGUGAAGCAGCUCGAAGGGUCGAGUAGUAGUCAUGAUUGUCUUCGAGGGAUGCUUGGCCCUCGUCAUCUUUCCUGCUUCACAGGCACCGCAUAAGUGAUCUUUCUUGAACUUGACGCCCUCAAUGCCUAUGACAUGCUUCUUCUUUGCCAGGGUGUGGAGGUUCCUCAUGCCAGCAUGCCCAAGCCUCCGAUGCCAGAGCCAGCAUUCUGAAGCUUUUGCUAGAAGACAUACGGCAAGUUGUGGUCCUGCUGAGAAAUCUACCACGUACAGAUCGUCUUUCCGAUACCCUUCAAACACUAGAGACUUGUCAGAUUCCAUUAGAACAAGGCAACAAUAUUUUCCAAAUAUUACGAUCAUGUUCAAAUCGCAUAGCAUUGAGACAGACAUUAAGUUGAAGCCAAGGGAUUCAACAAGCAUGACUUUAUCCAUGUGUUGAUCCUUUGAGAUUGCAACUCUACCUAGACCCAAUACCUUACUUUUACCAGUGUCAGCAAAUGUGAUGUGGCUCUUGUCGGAAGGACGUAAGGUUGAGUCCAUCAGAAGGCUUCUUUUGCCAGUCAUGUGAUUUGUACACCCACUAUCAGUAAUCCAUUCUGUAUACGCUGGUGUCGUACCCUACAGUGCAGUUAGGGGGAUAGGCUUCACGAAGAGAGUUGUGAAGCAAAAACAUUUGACGAACCAGUGGGUUAUGAAAGCUUAGAUCCAGAUUAGUACUGAUAGGGAGAGUAGCAAGCGAUUCAGGAACGAAGUACAUAGUAAGACCAUUCGGCAUUUGAUCUUGCGCCCUACAAGAUGUUUAAGGUCCCCAGCGAUAGCGUCAGAAGAUUUUGGUUUUCUGCUGGAGACCUUUCCCUGCAAAAGAGAGUUAAGCCUUCUUAACAACCCACAUCUUCAAGGGUGGCUUAGAAGCGAUAAGUCUAAGUGCAGAGUCUGAAAACUUUGGCUUUGGGGCUCUAGCAAAAAGUCUUGCAGGUGGACAAUAAUACUCAUAAGAAUAAGCAGAAUAGUUUUUGGUCUUAUGAACAUGGCGGUUCGAUGAACCGCGCUCAUAUUCAUAGGCCUGAGUAUGGUUUCCCUGCAAAACAUUUGCAUUAGUCCGACUCAGGUGAGUCCUCUGUCUGUAUGAAGCCUUUGGGCCAUAUGAAGCCUGUGGUCUGGGGUUUGUCUUCUUCAUCUAUGGUGUCAUGAUGACAUUCACAGGAAGAUUUUCCAAACACCUUUUGGGCACCCAGACCUUCUUCAUAGGCGGUCCAUUCCUGCAGUUAGUACCAAUGUACCUGGCAAAAACUUCACCAUUCUGAUUCUUAAAUAGUUUAUAGUUUGCAUCAAAGGAUUCAUCAAUGACAAUGGGGUUAGCACAAGUGAAGCCAGAUAGACUGGAUGGAUUUGCUGAAGGUUCCUUUGCAGCAACCCAUGUGGUUUUGGGAUACUGCUCGGGUUUCUAGUAAGAGCCAUCAGCAUUCAUUUUCCUUAUGAACCCAACACCCUCUUUCCUCGGGUUUCGGUUCAGAAUCUGCCUUUUGAGGACAUCACAUAGUGUCUGAUGCCCUUUAAGACUUUUGUACAUCCCUGUUUCAAGCAAUGUCUUCAACCUAGCAUUCUCAUCAGCAAUCGCAGUAGUAUCCUCAGUAGAGGGGUUAGUUACCACAUCAACAGUUGAAGAUAUUGCAACAGUAGCAGUAGUAGAACAUUCAGCAACAGAAGCAGCAUUAUCACGCUCAAUGCAUUUAAGACAUGGUGGUUCAAAUCCUUCCUGAGCGGAACUGAUCUGUUCGGCGCGAAGUGACUCGUUUUCCUUUUGAAGAUCUUCAUGAGCCGCUCUCAAUUUCUCAAGAUCUUGCUUCCUUUGAAGAUAAUCAUAGGAAAGCUUUUCAUGAGUUGUUGAGAGCGUUUCAUGACAACUUUCAAGUUCCUCAUAUUUAACGUGAAGAUUUUUUAUGUCUUGAAUUAAGGAUUCAGAUCGAGUCAUUUCAACGCCCAACAAAUCAUCGCUUUUGUCUAACAGUUUUUGAAUAUGUUCCAUGGCUUUCUGUUGUUCAGUUGCAAUUUUAGCAAGUGUUUUGUAGCUGGGUCUUGAAUCACAAUCAGAGUCAUCAUCACUAGAUGUUUGAUAGUGAGUAGUGCGUGUGUUUACCUUGGCACCGUGUGCCAUGAAGCAGUAGGUAGGAGCAGAGUCGUCCUUGUCAUUUGCAUCGGCGUCGGUGGUGAAGUCAUUGUCUUCAGUGUUGAAGAUGGACUUGGCAACGUAUGCUGUAGCCAGACUUGCAACACCAGAAUCGGACUCCUCCUCAGACUCCACCUCCGCCUCCUCAGACGCGGACUCCUCCUCUGAAUCCAUUUCCUUGCCAACAAACGCACGUGCCUUGCCAGAUGAGCUCUUCUUGUGUGAUGAAGACUUUGAGGAAGACUUGGAAGAAGACUUUGAGUAUUUCUUCUUCUUCUUGUCGUCAGAGUCAUAUUCCUUGCUCUUCUUCUUCUUUCUAUUCUCAUUGUCCCACUGCGGACACUCAGAGAUGAAGUGGCUAGUUUUCUUGCACUUGUGACAUGUUUUCUUCUUGUAGUCAUGAGCAGAAGCUUCAUCAUUCCUUGAGCUUGAUCGUGAAGACUUUCUGAAGCCUUUCUUCUUGGGGAAUCUUUGGAACUUCUUUACAAGCAUAGCAAGUUCCUUUCCAAUGUCUUCAGGAUCGUCAGAACUGCUGUCAGAUUCUUCUUCAGAUGAGGAGACAACUUUUGCCUUCAGGGCACGAGUUCGCCCAUAGUUUGGACCGUAGAUAUCUCUUUUCUCAGAAAGCUGAAACUCAUGUGUGUUGAGCCUCUCAAGUAUGUCGGACGGAUCGAGUAUCUUGAAAUCAGGUCGUUCUUGAAUCAUCAGGGCUAGGGUGUCAAACAAACUGUCAAGUGAUCUCAGUAGUGUCUUGACGACUUCAUGCUUGGUGAUCUCAGUGGCGCCGAGCGCUUGAAGCUCAUUUGUGAUGUCAGUGAGUCGGUCAAAUGUGAGCUGGACAUUCUCAUUGUCAUUUCGCUUGAAGCGGUUAAAGAGGUUGCGAAGAACGCUGAUUCUCUGAUCUCUCUGGGUUGAGACGCCUUCGUUGACCUUGGAGAGCUAGUCCCAGACCAGCUUCGAUGUUUCCAAAGUGCUCACACGGCCAUACUGUCCUUUGGUCAGAUGACCACAGAUAAUGUUCUUGGCAGUAGAGUCCAGUUGAACGAACUUCUUGACAUCAGCAACAGUGACACCUUCUCCAGCCUUGGGAACGCCGUUCUUGACGACAUACCAUAGGUCGACGUCAAUGGCUUCAAGAUGCAUGCGCAUCUUAUUCUUCCAGUAGGGAUAUUCAGUUCCAUCGAAGACGGGGCACGCAACGGAGACUUUAAUUAUCCCUGCAGUCGACAUAGCUAAAACUCCAGGUGGUUAAACCGAAUCACACAGAACAAGGGAGCACCUUGCUCUCAUACCAAUUGAAAGUGCAUUAUAUCGACUAGAGGGGGUGACUAGGCGAUUUUUAUGAAAGUCUUAAAAACAUGGAAGUUUCGAAGACAAAUGAUAGAAAUAAACCUAUUACCAUGCAGCGGAAGUUAGACUACACUAGAUAAACCAUAGUCAUGUAUUCAAUGAAGUGAAAGGACAAUGACUAAUAGUAGCUAGGUAGUAAGGAUCAGGCAGGAAGAUAUUAAGAAGCCAAACGGAUCACACAGUCACUCAGUGAAGACAAAAGAUAGAGCAAACAUACAAUGACUUCACACAGAGUAACAGUAAGUAAAGAGAAGGGAAGGAUGAAACCAGUGACUCGUUGAAGACAAAUAUUUGUUGGACCAGUUCCAGUUGCUGUGACAACUGUACGUCUGGUUAGGGCGGCUAGGUAUUUAAACCAAAGGACACAUAGUCCCGGACACCCAGUCCUGAACACGCAGCUCAGGACACCCAGUCCUCACAGUAUUCCCCUUGAGCUAAGGUCACACAGACCUCGCCCAAUCACUCUGGUAAGUCUUCAAGGUAGACUCCCAAACCUUCACAGACUUCGUUCACCGGCAAUCCACAAUGUCUCUUGGAUGCUAUAACGCGACGCCUAACUGGCUGGAGGAUGCACAGUCCUCAAGUGUAAUAAGUCUUCAUAUCACUCAGACAAGAAGACUUAAGUGAUGCCUAAUUCUCUUUGGCUCUGGGUGGUUAGGGCUUUAUCCUCGCAAGGAAUUCUCUCUCAAAGGCUUCGAGGUGGGUUGCUCUCAAACGACAAAAGCCGUACUCUGAAUCCGAGCAGCCAACCGUUUAUGGUUGUAGGGGGUGGGCUAUUUAUAGCCACUAGGCAACCCGACAUGAUUUGUCCGAAAUGACCCUGGGUCACUAAGGAACUGACACGUGUUCCAACGGUCAGAUUUCAAACUCACACGGCAACUUUACUUGGGCUACAAGCAAAGCUGACUUGUCCGACUCUGGACAAGAUUUGCUCUCAUAGUCUUCACUCGAAGACAUAGGUUUUUGUUUAAGCAUCACUUCAGUCAUUCUGACUGGUUCUCUUGGACCCCACUUAACAGUGCGGUGGUUCCUAUGACUCAACACAGAAGAAAAAGAACUACGAAAGAUCUAAGUCUUCGAGCUCCAUAGGCUUCAUGCAGUGUCUUCUCUUGUCAUAGUCUUCAAUGUGAAUAUCUUCAUAUACCACCUUUGACAUCAAUGUCUUCAUACAUUUUUAGGGGUCAUCUCUGGUGGGAAAACCAAAUCAAUGAGGUACUUCUACCUGUGUUAUCCUGCAAUUCUCAUAAACACAUUAGUCCCUCAACUAGGUUUGUCGUCAAUACUCCAAAACCAACUAGGGGUGGCACUAGAUGCACUUACACAGUCGUCUCUAAAGCAUAACCCCAAAAUGAUAGCAGUAAAUUAGUAAGAGACAUCAUAGAUCGCACCAUAUCUAAUAAAGUGCGGUUACGAUGUUCGGACACACCAUUAUGUUGUGGUGUUCCGUGUGGCGUGAGUUGCGAAACUGUUCUGCAUUGUUUCAAAUGAAGACCAAACACGUAACUCAAAUAUUCACCUCCACGAUCAGAUUGUAGAAACUUUAUUUUCUUGUUACGAUAUUUUUCCUCUUCACUCUGAAUUUUUUUGAACUUUUCAAAUGUUUCAGACUUAUGUUUCAUCAAGUAGAUAUACCCAUAUCUGCUCAAAUCAUCUGUGAAGGUCAGAAAAUAACAAUACCCGCCGCGAGCCUCAACACUCAUCGGACCGCAUACAUCCGUAUGUAUUAUUUCCAACAAGUCUAUUGCUCACUCCAUUGUUCCGGAGAAUGGAGUCUUAGUCAUCUUGCCCAUGAGGCAUGGUUCGCAAGCAUCAAGUGAUUCAUAAUCAAGUGAUUCCAAAAGUCCAUCAGCAUGGAGUUUCUUCAUGCGCUUUACACCAAUAUGACCUAAACGGCAGUGCCACAAAUAAGUUGCACUAUCAUUAUUAACCUUGCAUCUUUUGGCUUCAAUAUUAUGAAUAUGUGUGUCACUAUUGUCGAGAUUCAAUAAAAAUAGAUCACUCAUCAAGGGUGCAUGACCAUAAAAGAUAUUACUCAUAUAAAUAGAACAACCAUUAUUCUCUGAUUUAAAUGAAUAUCCGUCUCGCAUCAAACAAGAUCCAGAUAUAAUGUUCAUGCUUAACGUUGGCACCAAAUAACAAUUAUUCAGGUCUAAAACUAAUCCCGAUGGUAGAUGUAGAGGUAGCAUGCUGACGGCGAUCACAUCGACUUUGGAACCAUUUCCCACGCGCAUCGUCACCUCGUCCUUAGCCAAUCUUCGCUUAAUCCGUAGCCCAUGUUUCGAGUUGCAAAUAUGAGCAACAGAACCAGUAUCAAAUACCUAGGCGCUACUACGAGCAUUAGUAAGGUACACAUUAAUAACAUGUAUAUCAAAUAUACCUUUCACUUUGCCAUCCUUCUUAUCCAUCAAAUACUUGGGGUAGUUCCGCUUCCAAUGACCAGUCCCUUUGUAGUAGAAGCAUUCAGUCUCCGGCUUAGGUCCAGACUUGGGCUUCUUCACUUGAGCAACAACUUGCUUGUCAUUCUUCUUGAAGUUCCCCUUCUUCCCUUUGCCCUUUUUCUUGAUACUGGUGGUCUUGUUGACCAUCAACACUUGAUGCUCCUUCUUGAUUUCUACCUCUACAGCCUUUAGCAUUGCGAAGAGCUCGGGAAUUGUCUUAUCCAUCCCUUGCAUAUUAUAGUUCAUCAUGAAGCUUUUGUAGCUUGGUGGCAGUGAUUGAAGAACUCUGUCAAUGACACUAUCAUCAGGAAGAUUAACUCCUAGUUGAGUCAAGUGGUUGUGGUACCUGGACAUUUUGAGUAUAUGUUCACUAACAAAACUAUUCUCCUCCAUCUUACAGCUGUAGAACUUAUUGGAGACUUCAUAUCUCUCAAUCCGGGCAUUUGCUUGAAAAUUUUACUUCGACUCCUGGAACAUCUCAUAUGCUCCAUGAUGUUCAAAACGUUGUUGAAGUCCCGAUUCUAAGCCGUAAAGCAUGGCACACUAAACUAUCGAGUAGUCAUCGGCUUUGCUCUACCAGACGUUCAUAAUGUCCGGUGUUGCUUGAUACGUCUCCGUCGUAUCUACUUUUCCAAACACUUUUGUCCUUGUUUUGGACUCUAACUUGCAUGAUUUGAAUGGAACUAACCCGGACUGACGCUGUUUUCAGCAGAAUUACCAUGGUGUUAUUUAUGUGUAGAAAUAAAAGUUCUCGGAAUGACCUGAAACUUCAGGGAACGUCUUUUUGGAAAUAAUAAAAAAUCCUUGCAAAAGAUGAAGACCAGGGGGCCCACACCCUAGCCACGAGGGUGGGGGCGCGCCUGCCCCCCUAGGCGCGACCCCUACCUUGUGGGCCCCCUGGAGCUCCUCCGACCUCAACUCCAACUCUAUAUAUUUGCUUUCAGGGAGAAAAAAAUUAGAGAGAAGGAUUCAUCGCGUUUUACAAUACAGAGCCGCCGCCAAGCCCUAAAACCUCUCAGGAGGGCUGAUCUGGAGUCCGUUCGGGGCUCCGGAGAGGGGAAUCCGUCGCCAUCGUCAUCAUCAACCUUCCUCCAUCACCAAUUUCAUGAUGCUCACCGCCGUGCGUGAGUAAUUCCAUCAUAGGCUUGCUGGACGGUGAUGGGUUGGAUGAUAUUUAUCAUGUAAUCGAGUUAGUUUUGUUAGGGUUUGAUCCCUAGUAUCCACUAUGUUGUGAGAUUGAUGUUGCUAUGACUUUGCUAUGCUUAAUGCUUGUCACUAGGGCCCGAGUGCCAUGAUUUCAGAUCUGAACCUAUUAUGUUUUCAUCAAUAUAUGAGUGUUCUUGAUCCUAUCUUGCAAGUCUAUAGUCACCUACUAUGUGUUAUGAUCUGGCAACCCCGAGGUGACAAUAAUAGGGACCACUCCCGGUGAUGACCGUAGUUUGAGGAGUUCAUGUAUUCAUUAUGUGUUAAUGCUUUGGUCUGGUACUCUAUUAAAAGGAGGCCUUAAUAUCCCUUAGUUUCCGCUAGGACCCCGCUGCCACGGGAGGGUAGGACAAAAGAUGUCAUGCAAGUUCUUUUCCAUAAGCACGUAUGACUAUAUUCGAAAUACAUGCCUACAUUACAUUGAUGAAUUGGAGCUAGUUUUGUGUCACCCUAGGUUAUGACUGUUACAUGAUGAACCGCAUCCGGCGUAAUUCUCUAUCACCGAUCCAUUGCCUACGAGCUUUCCAUAUAUUGUUCUUCACUUAUUUACUUUUCCGUUGCUAUUGCUAUCAUCACUACAAAAUACCAAAAACAUUAAUUUUGCUAUCGUUACCUUUUGCUACCGUUACCACUACUAUCAUAUUACGUUGCUACUAAACACUUUACUACAGAUAUUAAGUUUCUAGGUGUGGUUGAAUUGACAACUCAACUUUCAACUGCUAAUACUUGAUAAUAUUCUUUGGCUCCCCUUGUGUCGAAUCAAUAAAUUUGGGUUGAAUACUCUACCCUCGAAAACUGUUGCGAUCCCCUAUACUUGUGGGUUAUCAAGACUAUUUUCUGGCGUCGUUGCCGGGGAGCAUAGCUCUAUUCUUUGAGUCACUUGGGAUUUAUAUCUGUUUAUCAUUAUGAAGAACUUGAGAGAUCCAAAAACCAAGAUUUAUCUCUCAACUACGAGGGGAGGUAAGGAACUGCCAUCUAGCUCUGCACUUGAUUCACCUUCUAUUUUGAGUAAGCUUGCGACACCUAAACCUGCUUCUGCUAUUCAUUCUGAUAUGUCGCAUGUUAUUAAUGAUGCCACUUGUGCUAUGCAUGAUACUUAUGAUGAAACUACUUCUAUGCUUGAUACUACUGUGCCACUUGGUGAAUUUCUUGAUGAACAACUUGCUAGGGUUAGAGAGAAUGAAAUUAUUGAAACUGAUAAUAUAUAUAUAUAUAUUUGAAUAUAUACUGUAGGGUAAAACCCCCACAGCCCUUUAUUGCAGUCUCAAAAAACAAACUGUACAGUGAAAGAAAGAGAUGACAAGCCUAAACGAAAAGUUAAGAAGAACUUACAAUUACAUGAGGGAGUUAACUCAAUCUACAAGCCUAGACUUAGAGCUAUCCUUAAACCUAUGUGACAGGAGAAGAAUGUCAUGUACAAAACUGCCCCUCCAGGCAACAAAAGUAGCCCGUAGUCCCCUGAAAGUUCUUCCAUUUCUCAGAAUCCAUAUAUUCCAAGCAGCUGUGAGCAUAACUUCAAAGAAGAAAGGAUACCCAAAUCGCUGCCUUGCUUGAGAUAUACAUUGCUGAAUAGAAGAACCAUGUGACCAAUCGAUCUGCAGGUAUUUCCAAACCCUGGCACUGAAAUUACAACCAAAGAAUAGGUGAGCCCUGUCCUCCCAAACAAAGGCAUUACAGAUGACACAUAGAUGAUCAGCCGUAGGGGACCUCCGGUGGCUGCGGACCAGCACGUCCUUUGUGUUGAGUCUGUCAAAGAAUAGGAGCCAGCCAAAAACCUUAAUUUUCAUAGUACAUAUGCUCUGCCAAAGCCACCUGCAGGGUUUAAUAGUUGGGAGGUGUGUAUGCAUGAUGUCAUAGAAGCUCUUUGCAGAAAACUGUCCAGAUUUACCAGGCCAAAUCCAAACAUCAGGCAAUGUUGGAUCUCUCUGGAGAUUGAACAUCCUUCCUUCCAAGGAUUCCAAUUCUGCUGCUGCCUGCUGAGAAAUUGGCAGAUGAAACAUUGAGAACAAAUCCUGGGUUUGCAAAAACUCCCUGACAGAAACCUUAUCAUCCAAAACAAAAGAGAAAAGCCUUGGUAAUCUGAGGCUUAGUGGCCUUGAAGAGCCACCUACAUGGCAAGCAUCCAGCCAAAAGAGAGCAGAAUCACCCAUAUUAACUGGCACUGAAGCAAUUGACCUAUAAGUGUCAGCAAGCUUGAGAAUGUCCUUCCACCAAAAGGAGCCAGUUAGGACUGUUGCAUGGGGCACCACUCCAUCAUAAUAACUAUCCCAAAUCAACUGGACCCAAGGAAUCUGCUGUUUGUUGUAGAACUUAUGCAUUUGUUUGAGAAGCAGACCUUGAUUUUGAACAUUGAGGUUGAGAAUGCCAAGUCCUCCCUUAUCCUUUGGUCUGCAAACUAAAUCACAGGCAGCUAGGGAUUGCUUAGGCACAUCAGAAUUUCCUCUCCACAAACACUGCCUGAAAAUCCUAUCCAACUGUUUGAUAAUACCAGGUGGGAUAUGCAAGCUGCAGAGGAAGUAUAUGGGCAUUGAAGUAAGCACAGAUGUGAGAAAUUGUAACCUGGAUCCUUGGUUGAGCAUGGCAGAGCUAACAGACAGUCUUCUUUCAAGACUAUCCACUAAAGGCAUGAAAUCAAUGAUUCUAGGUCUUGUUGUACCAAGAGGCAAACCCAGAUAUGUGAAAGGUAACUGCUCCGGUUUACAUCCCAGGAUGGAAGACAACCUCUGUGCCUCUGUGGGAUCAACAUUUAGUGGCACCAUUGAAGACUUUCCAAAAUUUACCUUUAGGCCAGUAGACUGUUGGAAAAUAUGGAGCAUGUUCUUGAGAGCCACCAACUGGUCCUGUACUGCAGAAAGGAUAAUUAUUGUGUCAUCUGCAUACUGAAUGAUAGGAAAUUCAGGGUCCUAAGAUGGGAUUGGAAGUGUUAGAACUCCCUUAGCCAGCAUGUUAUUGACCAUUGUUUGAAGAAGAUCGGCAGCUAUGACAAAUAAAAGAGGGGAUAGGGGAUCCCCCUGCCUGACCCCACAUUUAUAUUUGAACUGUUUGCCAGGCACCCCAUUAAGCAAAACAGAUGAUGAUCCUGAGGAGAGAAUCUCUUUAAUCCAAGAAAUCCAUUUGGCAUCAAAACCUUUGUGCUGUAGAACUUGCAAGAUGAAGUCAUGCUCCACAGUGUCAAAAGCUUUGGCAAAAUCCAAUUUCAAAAUGAUGGUUGGCCUUUUGGAUUGAUUGCAUUGAUGUAUAUAUUCAAAAGCCCAAGCCAGGCAGUCCUGAAUGGCUCUGCUCUUCAAAAACCCAUAUUGAUUCUUAUGGAUGCAUUGCAGAAUGACCUUUUGAAGCCUAUUUCCCAAAAGCUUAGUAAGGAACUUGAGGCAUGUGUUAGUAAGAGAGAUUGGUCUAAAAUCCUCAAGUCCUUCAGGAGACAACAUCUUUGGAAUUAAGGUGAUAAGGGAUCCAUUAAUAUUUUCCAAAGAUAGCCUCCCAUCAUAAAACCCCUGAAUGAGAGCCAAGAAAUCCUUCUCAAUGAUGGGCCAACACUUCUUAACAAAAAGACCAUUAAAACCGUGAAAGUGAUGAUGAAGAUUCUCCCCCUAAUAAAUAUGAAUUGCCUGUUGUGCCUGAGGGCUAUGUUAUGGAUGAAGAAAUUGCUAAAGCUAUUUUUGUUUGCAAAGAUAGAUAUGAUCUUAAGAAGUUAUUAGCUAAAUGGAAGCAGCAAUCUCUUAAUGCUAGAAUGAAACCUGACCCUGCUUUUGCUACUUCACCUAUCUGUGUUACUGAUAAGGAUUAUGAAUUCUCUGUUGAUCCUGAUAUAAUUACUUUGGUUGAAUCUGAUCCUUUUCAUGGCUAUGAGUCUAAAACUGUUGUGGCACAUCUUACUAAAUUAAAUGAUAUAGCCACCCUAUUCACUAAUGAUGAGAGAACUCGUUACUUUUAUAUCCUUAAAAUAUUCCUGUUCUCAUUAAAGGGUGAUGCUAAGAUAUGGUUUAAUUCUCUUGAUCCUGGUUGUGUGCGUAGUCCCCAGGAUAUGAUUUAUUACUUCUCUGCUAAAUAUUUCACUGCUCAUAAGAAACAAGCUGCUUUGAGGGAUAUAUAUAAUUUUGUGCAAAUUGAAGAAGAGAGUCUCCCACAAGCUUGGGGGAGGCUUCUCCAAUUACUUAAUGCUUUGCCUGAUCAUCCUCUUAAGAAAAAUGAAAUAUUGGAUAUAUUUUAUAAUGGACUAAGUGAUGCUUCCAGAGAUUACCUGGAUAGUUGUGUUGGUUCUGUUUUCAAGGAAAGAACACCGGAUGAAGCUGAAAUUCUAUUGAAUAAUAUGUUGACAAAAGAAAAUAAUUGGACACUUCCUGAGCCAGCUCCUGAGCCUAUUCCUAAACCAACUCCGAAGAAGAGGGGUAUUCUAUUUCUCAGUCCUGAAGAUAUGCAAGAGGCAAAGAAAUCCAUGAAAGAAAAGGGUAUUAAAGCUGAAGAUGUUAAGAAUUUACCUCCUAUUGAAGAAAUACACGGUCUUAAUUUACCGCCUGUUGAAGAAACAUAUGAUCUUAAUCCAUUACCUAUUGAAGAAAUACAUGGUCUUGAUAACCCGACACAAGUAGUAAAGGUAAACUCUCUCUAUAGAUAUGAUAAAAUUGAAAUCCCUCUUACUAAGUUUGCUAGCCAAUGCUUAGAUGAGUUUGAUAAUUUUAUGGUGAAGCAAGAAGAUUUUAAUUCUUAUUUUGGUAGACAAUUGAAAUACAAUUCAAAUAUGCUUGAACACUUGGGUGAUUAUAUGGCUAAUGUUAAAGGUGAAAUUAAACUUAUUAGCAAACAUGCUUCUAUGGUUACCACUCAAGUAGAACAAGUACUUAAAGCUCAAAAUGAUUUGCUCAAUGAACUGAAUAGUAAGAAUAAUGAUAAUGCUGUUAGAGUUAUGACUAGAGGUGGUAAAAUGACUCAAGAACCUUUGUAUCCUGAAGGCCAUCAUAAGAGAAUUGAGCAAGAUUCUCGGAGAAAUAAUAUAGAUGCACCUAGUUCUUCUAAAAGGAAGAAAAAGAAAAAUGAUAGGACUUUGCAUGCUUCUAGUGAACCUAUUGAUGAAACACCUGAGAAUCCAAAUGAUAUUUCUAUUUCUGAUGCUGAAACACAAUCUGGUAAUGAACCUGAAACUAGUGAUAAUAUUAAUGAUAAUGUUCAUGUUGAUGCUCAACCUAGCAAUGAUAAUGAUAUAGAAAUUGAACCUGUUGUUGAUCUUGAUAACCCACAAUCAAAGAAUCAACGUUAUGAUAAGAGAGACUUUGUUGCUAGGAAACAUGGUAAGGAAAGAGAGCCUUGGGUUCAGAAACCCAUGCCUUUUCCUCCCAAACCAUCCAAGAAAAAGGAUGAUGAGGAUUUUGAGCACUUUGCUGAAAUGAUUAGACCUACCUUUUUGCGUAUGCGAUUAACUGAUAUGCUUAAAAUGAAUCCUUAUGCUAAGUACAUGAAAGAAAUUGUUACUAAUAAAAGAAAGAUACCGGAAGCUGAAAUUUCCACCAUGCUUGCUAAUUAUACUUUUAAAGGUGGAAUACCUAAGAAACUAGGAGAUCCCGGAGUACCAACUAUACCAUGCUCCAUUAAAAGAAAUUAUGUUAAAAUUGCUUUAUGUGAUCUUGGAGUCGGUGUUAGUGUUAUGCCUCUCUCUUUAUAUCAUAGACUUGAUUUGAAUAAGUUGACACCUACUAAAAUAUCUUUGCAAAUGGCUGAUAAAUCAACUGCUAUACCUAUCGGUAUUUGUGAGGAUGUGCCUGCUGUGGUUGCAAACGUUACUAUUUUAAUGGACUUUGUUAUUCUUGAUAUUCCCGAGGACGAUAGUAUGUCUAUUAUUCUUGGAAGACCCUUUUUGAAUACUGCAGGGGCUGUUAUUGAUUGCAACAAAGGCAAUGUCACUUUUCAUGUUAAUGGUAAUGAGCAUACGGUACACUUUCCGAGGAAACAACCUCAAGUCCACAGUAUCAAUUCUAUUGGAAAAAUUCAAUCGAUUAUUUUUGAAGGUUUUGAAUUUCCUCUUCCUACUGUCAAAAGAAAUAUGAUAUUCUUAUUAUUGGGGAUGUGCAUAUCCCCGUUGAGGUAACAUAGUGUUAUUCGAAAUUCCUCCGGUUCCAUGUUAUUCGGAAUGAGUUUGCUAACAAGACUUGAUCAACCAUGUUAACGGAUUCCUUUUGAUGAGCAUGAGAUGGAUGAAACUAGAAGGCACAACUCUCCGUACCCUCCUUUUACUUUCUGUUAUUUAUAUUAAAUAAAAUUAAAAGAAGUAUUUUCCGUCUGUUAUCUGAUUUAUCCGUGCAAUAUAAAAUACCCCGAAAAUAAAAGUUCUCCAAAUGCCUUGAAAUUUAAAUAUGAUUUUUUCUGGAAUAUUUGAGAAUAUUUGGCACUAAGAACACAACACAGGGGGCAUCCACCUGGCCACGAGAGUGGAGGGCGCGCCCUACCCCCCCUGUGCGUGCCCCUUGCCUCGUGGGCCCACGGUGGCCCUCCUCCACUUAUUCCUGCACCCACACACUCCUUCCUCCCAUAAACACGAUUAUCCAGUUCGAACCCAAGUCCAAGCUCAUUUUGCUGCUAUUUUCGAUCUCCUUGCUCAAAGCACCUCUCACAAAACUGCUUGGGGGGAUUGUUCCUUGGUAUGCGACUCCUCCAUUGGUCCAAUUAGUUUUUGUUCUAGUGCUUUAUUCAUUGCAAAUUUAUGUUGUCUAGGUGCCCAUGUUCCUGAGCUUGCAUGUCAAAUUUAUGUGGUUCCAACUAGUUUUGAUGCAUGAUAUAGGCUCUAGGCACUUGUAGGAGUUGUUGCUAUCAAUUUUGUUGAGCUUGGCUCACUUUUAUUUGAAGUUACUAAAAAUUUCAGAAUUUUUCAGAAAAUAAUGAAGAGAUUUUUGAGGGGCUCAUCAAGCCGAAGCUCGAAGGAAAAGCAAAAUGAAAAAGCAGAGAGGCCCGAAUAUAAUCUGCCUCGCACCGCAGAGGUUCGGCCGUGUGAAUGGCCUUCCAAUGAUUUCUUGAGAGCAGUCGGGAUUUAUGAUGAUUUUUAUGAAUUGGCUGAGAAUGUAGGCCUCACCGCCUUCCUCCAUGACCAACGCGAACAAUAUCUCUUACUCACCAAUAUCUUUGUGCAAAACUUUCAUUUCCAUGCUAGGAGCUCACCACCUACGGUGGAGUUUUAUUUGUAUGAUGAGCACAAGGAGAUGUCACUUUACGAUUUCUGUCGGGUUUGAUUGAUCCCUUUCGAGGGCACAAUAGAGGAACCACACCGCGGUGAUGUGGAUGGGUUUAUAGAUACCAUCACUGUAGGGGAAACGAGGAAGGUUUCCGAUGCACGAAUCACUAGCAUACAUUUUCCUGUUUUACGCUACUUUGCAAUAUUUGCUAGUCGUUGCUUAAUUGGUCGCGAAAACUGUGGAAACCUUAGUGUUCCUGAUAUUAUUAUUUUGUUCCACGGUUUAUUCUGUGAUAAAUCUGUUAGUAUGGGCGGUAUUAUUGCUAAACGGUUAAGUCUCAACUGUACAAAGGGCCCCAUCUUUGGAGGCAUCUAUGCUUCACGCCUAACUGCGCAUUUUAACAUACCUAUUAAGCAUUAUGAGAAGGAAGAAAAAUUGCUGCCCCUGUUUAUUUAGAUUAUAAGAGUAUGGUGGCACACGAUUUUAUUGUUAAGAAUAGGAAAGGGGAGCUUAAAUACAAAUUGUUCUUUGAUAAACAUCAUCCUGAGACUAUUACCCUGCCUACUCCUUCCUUGUUUGAUUUAUCUCCAGGCAAGUACCUUGUUCCGUUAGAGGCUAUUCACGCCUACCGGAACAUUGCAUCAGCCACAGAGCCAGAGUCGGAACCACUAGUUGAUCCUCCACGACAGUCUAAUUACCAUUGGGAUCCAGAAAUGAUAGCCACCAGUGGAAAUCAGAGUCUUCUUCGCAGUACGACCCCAACUAUUACUAUGGAUAUCCGCCAGGCCAGCCGUGGCCAUAGACCAACUUAGGUCAAAAGCCUAAACUUGGGGGAGUACGUAUUUCCCGCCGACAUUACAUUCAUGUUCGCACACUCAUUGCUAGAUGUCGGUGCUCAUACUUUUUCAUUGUAUCAUCCAUGCUAGUUCAUUUCCUUUUUAAGCUUUCUUCUUGUGUGUUUAAUAAACCUUAAGAAAAACCAAAAAAACUAGUUGUAGCUUUUAGCUAGUUUUAAUUUCCAUGCUUGUAGUAGUAAUUAAAAAGAAAACCCAAAAAAAGAUUUCUUGUUCUUGUUUUGCUCGUUGGGAGCUUUCCCGUGUAAAUAGUUUUAUUUCUUUUCUUUGGGGGUCGAUAGGAGAAUACCAUGAUUAAAUUGUUGAAGUGGCUCUUAUAUAUAUUUUUUAUCUGACAAAAGAGCCCAUAUUGCCUUGUCUUCUCCAGUUUAUUGAAUGCUUGCAGAUUCCAGCUUAGUCCAAUGCACGCGCACUAUUAUUAUUAUCCACAUCGUUCGGUCGUGCAAGUGAAAGGCAAUUAUGACAAUAUAUGAUGGACUGACUGAGAUGAGAAAAGCUGGUAUAAACUCAACCUCUCUUGUUUUUGUAAAUAUGAUUAGUUCAUCGUUCCUGAUUCAGCCUAUUAUGAAUAAACAUGUUUGCAAUGACAACUAGAGAUCAUAGUUUCUUGUGCCAUGCUUGAUUAGCUAGGAGCUUAUAAUGGUUUACCUUGCGUGCCAACAUGCUAUUAAAAUGGUUGUGAUGUGGUAUGAUAGGGUGGUAUCCUCCUCUGAAUGAUUUGAGUGGCUUGACUUGGCACAUGCUCACGCAUGUAGUUGAAAUAAAAUCAACAUAUCCUCUACGAUAUUUAUGUUCAUGGGGAAUUAUAUCCUACUCAUGCUUGCAUUUGGUGUUGAUUAAUUUUAAUGCAUGUUUAUGAGUGUUGUCGCUCUCUAGCUGGUUGCUUCCCAGUCUUUUGCUAGCCUUCACCUGUACUAAGCGGGAAUACUGCUUGUGCAUCCAAUCCCAUAAACCCCAAAGUUAUUCCAUAUGAGUCCACCAUACCUACCUAUUUACGGUAUCUACCUGCCGUUCCAAGUAAAUUUGUAUGUGCCAAACUCUAAACCUUCAAAUAAAUAUCAUGUUUUGUAUGCUCGAAUAGCUCAUGUAUCAACUAGGGCUGUCUGUAUCUUCCAUGUUAGGCGGGUUAUUCUCAAGAGGAGUGGACUCCGCUCCUCACUCACGAGAAAAUGGCUGGUCACCGGGAUGCCCAGUCCCAUGCUUUAUGCAAAUCAAAUCAAAAUAAUUGCAAACAAAACUCUCCCUAGGACUCUUGUUAGUUGGAGGCACUCGUUGUUUUGAGCAAGCCAUGGAUUGAUGCUUGUUAGUGGAAGGGGAGUAUAAACUUUACCAUUCUGUUUGGGAACCGCCUAUAAUGUGUGUAGCAUAGAAUAUAUCGCCCUCUCUUGGUUGUUAUGUUGACAAUGAAAGUAUACUGCUCAAAAUAUUAUUCACCUCUAUUUCAAAACCGAGCUCUGGCACCUCUACAAAUCCCUGCUUCCCUCUGCGAAGGGCCUAUCUAUUUACUUUUAUGUUGACUCAUCAUCCUCUUAUUAAAAAUCACAAGUUGGAGAGCACCGCUGUCAUUUGCAUUCAUUACUGUUAGUUUACAUUGAGUAUGACUGGACUGGAUCUCUUUUACCAUGAAUUACAAUGUCUAGUCAGUCCUUGAUCUUUAAAGGUGCUCUGCAUUUAUGUUUUGCGGUCUCAGAAAGGGCUAGCGAGAUACCAUCUUGUUAUAUCAUAUCAUGAUUGUUUUGAGAAAGUGUUGUCAUCUGAGAUUUAUUAUAUUGCUCGCUAGUUGAUUAUGCCAUUGAUAUGAGUAAACAUGAGACCUAAAUGUUAUUGUGAAUAUGGUUAGUUCAUAAUCUUUGCUGAAAACUUGAAUGCUGGCUCUACAUAUUUACAACAACAAGAGCAAACAGAGUUUGUAAAAGUUUUUCUUUAUCACUUUCAGCUUAUCAACUGAACUGCUUGAGGACAAGCAAAGGUUUAAGCUUUGGGCAGUUGAUACGUCUUCGUCGUAUCUACUUUUCCAAACACUUUUGCCCUUGUUUUGGACUCUAACUUGCAUGAUUUGAAUGGAACUAGCCCGGACUUACGCUGUUUUCAGCAGAAUUGCCAUGGUGUUAUUUUUGUGCAGAUAUAAAAGUUCUCGGAAUGACCCGAAAAUCAACGGAGAAUUAUUUUGGAAUACAUAAAUAAUACUGGAAGGAAGAUCCACGUCAGGGGGGCCUCCACCUGUCCACGAGGGUGGGGGCGCGCCCUACCCCCCUGGUGCUACCUCUUGAGCACUGCGUUGGUUUUCCCUUGAAGAGGAAAGGGUGAUGCAGUAAAGUAGCGUAAGUAUUCCCCUCAGUUUUUGAGAACCAAGGUAUCAAUCCAGUAGGAGAUCACGCUCGAGUCCCACGCACCUACACAACCAAAUAAGAACCUCGCAACCAACGCGAUAAAGGGGUUGUCAAUCCCUUCACGGUCACUUACGAGAGUGAGAUCUGAUAGAUAUGGUAAGAUAAUAUUUUGGUAUUUUUAUGAUAAAGAGAAAUAAAGAUGCAAAGAAAAAUAAACGGCAAUAGAAAUAACUAAGUAUCACCUGGGCGCACCCCCUGCCUCGUGGGCCCCCUGACGCUCCACCAACCUCAACCCUGACUUCAUAUAUUCACUUUCGGGGAGAAAAAACCAGAGAGAAAGAUUCAUCACAUUUUACGAUACGGAGCCGCCGCCAAGCCCUAAACUCUCUCGGGAGGGCUGAUCUGGAGUCCGUUCGGGGCUCCGAAGAGGGGAAUCCAUCGCCAUCAUCAUCAUCAACCUUCCUCCAUCACCAAUUUCAUGAUGCUCACCGUCGUGCGUGCAUAAUUCCAUCGUAGGCUUGCUGGACGGUGAUGGGUUGGAUGAGAUUUAUCAUGUAAUCGAGUUAGUUUUGUUAGGGUUUGAUCCCUAGUAUCCACUAUGUUCUGAGAUUGAUGUUGCUAUGACUUUGCUAUGCUUAAUGCUUGUCACUAGGGCCCGAGUGCCAUGAUUUCAGAUCUGAACCUAUUAUGUUAUCAUCAAUAUAUGAGCGUUCUUGAUCCUAUCUUGCAAGUCUAUAGUCACCUACUAUGUGUUAUGAUCCGGCAACCCCGAAGUGACAAUAAUCGGGACCACUCCUGGUGAUGACCGUAGUUUGAGGAGUUCAUGUAUUCACUAUGUGUUAAUGCUUUGGUCCGGUACUCUAUUAAAAGGAGGCCUUAAUAUCCCUUAGUUUCUGCUAGGACCCCGCUUCCACGGGAGGGUAGGACAAAAGAUGUCAUGCAAGUUCUUUUCCAUAAGCACGUAUGACUAUAUUCGGAAUACAUGCCUACAUUACAUUAAUGAAUUGGAGCUAGUUCUAUGUCACCCUAGGUUAUGAUUGUUACAUGAUGAACCGCAUCCGACAUAAUUCUCUAUCACUGAUCCAUUGCCUACGAGCUUUCCAUAUAUUGUUCUUCGCUUAUUUACUUUUCCAUUGCUAUUGCUAUCAUCACUACAAAAUACCAAAAACAUUACUUUUGCUAUCGUUACCUUUUGCUGCCGUUACCACUACUAUCAUAUUACUUUGCUACUAAACACUUUGCUGCAGAUAUUAAGUUUCCAGGUGUGGUUGAAUUGACAAGUCAGCUGCUAAUAGUUGAGAAUAUUCUUUGGCUCCCCUUGUGUUGAAUCAAUAAAUUUGGGUUGAAUACUCUACCCUUGAAAACUGUUGCGAUCCCCUAUACUUGUGGGUUAUCAUUGCUCCUGCAGCGGGUCUUGCACAUAGCGGUGCUUCCAGGACGUAAUUCUUCUGUGUAGCAAUGAGGAUAAUCCUCAAGUUACGGACCUAGUCCAUGUAGUUGCUACCAUCAUCUUUCAACUUAGGUUUCUCUACGAACGCAUUAAAAUUCAAAGGGACAUUAGCACGGGCCAUUGAUCUACAACAACAUAGACAUGCAAACUACUAUCAGGUGCUAAGUUCAUGAUAAAUUAAAGUUCAAUUAAUCAUAUUACUUAAGAACUCCCACUUAGAUAGACAUCCCUCUAGUCAUCUAAAUGAUCACGUGAUCCAUAUCAACUAAACCAUGUCCGAUCAUCUCGUGAGAUGGAGUAGUUUCAAUGGUGAACAUCACUAUGUUGAUCAUAUCUACUAUAUGAUUCACGCUCGACCUUUCGGUCUCAGUGUUCCGAGGCCAUAUCUGCAUAUGCUAGGCUCGUCAAGUUUAACCCGAGUAUUCUGCGUGUGCAAAACUGGCUUGCACCCGUUGUAUGUGAACGUAGAGCUUAUCACACCCGGUUAUCACGUGGUGUCUCGGCACGACGAACUAUAGCAAUGGUGCAUACUCAGAGAGAACACUUGUACCUUGAAAUUUAGUGAGAGAUCAUCUUAUAAUGCUACCGCCGUACUAAGCAAAAUAAGAUGCAUAAAGGAUAAACAUCACAUGCAAUCAAAAUAAGUGAUAUGAUAUGGCCAUCAUCAUCUUGUGCCUUUGAUCUCCAUCUCCAAAGAACCGUUAUGAUCACCAUCAUCACCGGCUUGACACCUUGAUCUCCAUCGUAGCAUCGUUGUCAUCUCGCCAACUAUUGCUUCUACGACUAUCGCUACCACUUAGUGAUAACGUAAAGCAAUUACAUGGCGAUUGCAUUUCAUACAAUAAAGCGACAACCAUAAGGCUCCUGCCAGUUGCCGAUAACUUUUACAAAACAUGAUCAUCUCAUACAACAACUUAUAUAUCAUCACGCAAAAACAAGUUAGACGUCCUCUACUUUGUUGUUGCAAGUUUUACGUGGCUGCUACAGGCUUCUAGCAAGAACCGUUCUUAUCUACGCAUCAAAACCACAAUGAUUUUUCAUCAAGUGUGUUGUUUUAACCUUCAACAAGGACCGGGCGUAGUCAAACUCGAUUCAACUAAAGUUGGAGAAACAGACACCCAGUAGCCACCUGUGUGUGAAGCACCUCGAUGGAACCAGUCUCAUGAACGCGGUCAUGUAAUGUCGGCCUGAGCUGCUUCAUCCAACAAUACCGCCAAAUCAAAGUAAGACGUUGCUGGUAAGAAGUAUGACUAUUAUCGUCCACAACUCAUUGUGUUCUACUCGUGCAUAUAACAUCUACGCAUAGACCUGGCUCGGAUGUCAUUGUUGGGGAACGUAGUAUUUCAAAAAAAAUCAUACGAUCACGCAAGAUAUAUCUAGGAGAAGCAUAGCAAUGAGCGGGGAGAGUGUGUUCACGUACCCUCGUAGACCGAAAGCGGAAGCGUUUAGUAACACGGUUGAUGUAGUCGAACGUCUUUGCGAUCCAAUCGAUCCAAACACCAAACGUACGACACCUCCGCGUUCAGCACACGUUCAGCUUGAUGACAUCCCUCGAGCUCUUGAUCCAGUUGAGGCCGAGGGAUAGUUCCGUCAGCACGAUGGCGUGGCGACGGUGAUGAUGAAGUUACCGGCGCAGGGCUUCGCCUAAGAACUACGACGAUAUGACCGAGGUGUGUAACUGUGGAGGGGGGCAACGCCCACGGCUAAGAGAAACUUGUGUCUUUGGGGUGCCCCCCUCCCACGUAUAUAAAUGGGGGGAGGAGGCCGGCCCAAAGGGGGGCGCGCCACAUGUUGGGGGUCCUACUAGGACUCCCUAGUCCUAGUAGGAUUCCCCUCUCCUUUCCUUUUACGGAAGGGGGAAAGGGGGGAAGGAGAGGAGGGGAAGAGGGAAAGGGGGCACGCCCCCUCCCCUUCCUAUUCGGACUCCACUUGGGGGGACGCGCACGCCUCCCCCUUGUGGGUUGUACCCUCUUCUCUCCCAUGGCCCAUAAGGCCCAUGAUUUCCCCCGGGGGGUUCCGGUAACCUCCCGGUACUCCAGAAAAAUGCUCGAAUCACUCGGAAUCAUUCUGAUGUUUGAAUGCAACCUUCCAAUAUAUGAAUCUUUACCUCUCGACCAUUUCUGUGAUCUCAUCCGGGACUCCGGACAAACUUCAGUCAUCAAAUCACAUAACUCAUAAUACAAAUUGGCACGAACGUUAAGCAUGCGGACCCUAUGGGUUUGAGAACUAUGUAGACAUGACUGAGACACAUCUCCGGUCAUUAACCAAUAGCGGAACCUGGAUGCUCAUAUUGGCUCCUACAUAUUCUACGAAGAUCUUUAUCGGUCAAACCGCAUAACAACAUACGUAGUUCCCUUUGUCAUAUGUAUGUUAUUUGCCCGAGAUCCGAUCGUCGGUAUCCCCAUACCUAGUUCAAUCUCGUUACCGUCAAGUAUCUUUACUUGUUCCGUAAUGCAUCAUCAUGUAACUAACUCAUUAGUCACAUUGCUUGCAAGGCUUAUAGUGAUGUGCAUUACCGAGAGGGCUUAGAGAUACCUCUCUGAUACACGAAGUGGCAAAUCCUAAUCUCGAUCUAUGCCAACUCAACAAACACCAUCAGAGACACCUGUAGAGCAUCUUUAUAAUCACCCAGUUACAUUGUGACGUUUGAUAGCACACUAAGUGUUCCUCCGGUAUUCGGGAGUUGCAUAAUCUCAUAGUCAUAGGAACAUGUAUAAGUCAUAAAGAAAGCAAUAGCAAUAAAAUUAAACGAUCAUUAUGCUAAGAUAACGGAUGGGUCUUGUCCAUCACAUCAUUCUCUAAUGAUGUGAUCCCGUUCAUCAAAUGACAACACAUGUCUAUGGUUAGGAAACUUAACCAUCUUUGAUUAACGAGCUAGUCUAGUAGAGGCAUACUAGGGACACUCUGUUUGUCUAUGUAUUCACACAUGUACUAAGUUUCUGGUUAAUACAAUUCUAGCAUGAAUAACAAAGAUUUAUCAUGAUAUAAGGAAAUAUAAAUAACAACUUUAUUAUUGCCUCUAGGGCAUAUUUCCUUCAGGAAGAGCAUCGCGGGUGGGAGGGAGAAGGGGAAUUAAGAGAGUGUGGGUUUGGGUUUGGGCCUCCGCGUGCUAUGUGUACACAUGUGUUGGUGGGUCGAUAGUAGUGGUCCUGGGUUUAUACCCCACGCUACUACUAUGGCCUAUCCCGGGGGUACGGUAGAGACCGCUUAGUAGUAGCGAGGGAUUUAUACCCCUCACUACUACUAUCAACUUAGUAGUAGUGAGGGAUUUAUACCCCUCGCUACUACUAUCAACUUAGUAGUAGUGAGGGAUUUAUACCCCUCGAUACUACUAUGGCCAGUCCCGGGGGGCACGGUGGAGACCACUUAGUAGUAGUGUGGGGUUUAUACCCCUCGCUACUACUAUCAACUUAGUAGUAGUGUGGGUUCUAUACCCCUCGCUACCAAUAAUUAGCAGCAGUGUGGCCCAUAUACCCCUCGCUACGGUUAAGCAUCUAUCUAUAAAGUAUUUUCUAGUAGUGCAUCGAUGGCGGCGAAAUCAGUCGUUCUGCUUGUUUUCCCUACUAGCUCUCUGACGUCCAGAACAAGUUUACGGUCAUAAGGUGCAAUAACCUUGCCUUCAUGAGUGACACGAUGACACGGGAACAGGCUUCCAAGCCUAUGGUGUCGCAUCAUGUCGUGGUCUGCUAGACUUAGUGGACGAAUGCUACUACAAUAUCGGUUGAUCUCAUACUACAAUACCAAGGAAGACACGCAACUACUAUAUAUAUUUCUUCAAGUCAGUCAACACAAGUAAAAUCUGGGAGUUCAACUGGUGCAGCUAUGCAAUGCUAAUGGAGACAACACAAUUCAACUUUAGCACUUCACACAUAAGCAACACCACGUUCAAUGGCACACACCUUAGAGUGUACCUAUGGUGGUUGAUUGGGCUAUAAGAAAUGUGAGUCCAUGUGAAGAUGCCAAAUAUAAUAACACGGCUAAUUACACAUGCAGUGGCAGCAGCAACAAGUGCAUGAAUUCCACAAAUGAUCUAGGGUACACAUGCAACUGUGUCCUUGAGUAUGACAACAACCCUUAUCUUCUAGACAAAUGCAUGGUAUGCUACUAAUUUAUUUGCUAAAUAUUCCAAUGAAUUGUGUCCUUUACUUUGUACAUACCCAAUUAUAAUAUUUUAUUUUGCUAAUACAAUGUAGCCUUCAAUUUAAACCAAGGUUUGCAUCCAUUAAUUAUGUUAGGUUCAUAUGACUUCACUACAUAAAUAGGUAGAUAAUGCAUAAGACUGAGAUUGUAGCUAGGGAUGAAAAUCUAAAUACGGCAUGAAUCUAACAAUUAUGAGUAAUGUCUUUGUGACAAGAACUUUCUUUGUCUUUUAUUCCCAUGUUUGAACUAGUAUAGGUCAGGGUUACACAUUAUGGUGCACAUCACUUUAUUUGUCAUCGUUACAUUGAACACUCAUUGACUAAACAACGAUGAUCCAUCCGUCUUGUAUUACAGGUCUUCAUUUCAUUGGCCACCGAUGCUUGUAAGACUACUCCCAGAUGGUUGUUGUUGUGGAUAUGGUUGUUGAGGUUGGUGUGGUUGCUGGGGGAAUGGUUGUUGGGGUUGCUGGGAAAUUGUUUGUUCUAGUUGCUGGGAUAAUUGUUGUUGGGGCUGCAGAAAUGGUUGUUGUGGUUGUUGUGGUUGCAGGAUGGAGGGUUGCUGGGAAAAUGGUUGUUGCGGUCGUAGGGGGAAUGGUUGUUGUGGUUGUAGAGGGAAAGGUUGUUGUGGUUGUUGAGGGAAUGGUUGUUGUGGUUGUUGGGGGAAUGAUUGUUGUGGUUGCAGGGGGAAUGGUUGUUGUGGUUGCUGGGGGAANNNNNNNNNNNNNNNNNNNNNNNNNNNNNNNNNNNNNNNNNNNNNNNNNNNNNNNNNNNNNNNNNNNNNNNNNNNNNNNNNNNNNNNNNNNNNNNNNNNNNNNNNNNNNNNNNNNNNNNNNNNNNNNNNNNNNNNNNNNNNNNNNNNNNNNNNNNNNNNNNNNNNNNNNNNNNNNNNNNNNNNNNNNNNNNNNNNNNNNNNNNNNNNNNNNNNNNNNNNNNNNNNNNNNNNNNNNNNNNNNNNNNNNNNNNNNNNNNNNNNNNNNNNNNNNNNNNNNNNNNNNNNNNNNNNNNNNNNNNNNNNNNNNNNNNNNNNNNNNNNNNNNNNNNNNNNNNNNNNNNNNNNNNNNNNNNNNNNNNNNNNNNNNNNNNNNNNNNNNNNNNNNNNNNNNNNNNNNNNNNNNNNNNNNNNNNNNNNNNUGGUUGCAGAGGGAACGAUUGUUGGGUCUGGGGAAAUGGUUGUUGUGGUUGCCAGGAAAAUGGUUGUUGGGGCUGUGGAAAAGGUUGUUGUGGUUGUUGGGGUUGCUGGGGGAAUGGUUGUUGUGGUUGUAAGGGGGUCGGUUGUUGGGGUUGGGGAAAUAAUUGUUGUGAUUGCUGGGGAAAUUGUUGUUGGGGUGUGGAAAAUGGUUGUUGUGAUGGAUAUGGUUGCUGUGAUGGAUAUGGUUGUUGUGGAUAUGGCUGUUGUGGAAAUAGUUUUUGUUGAUGGGAAAAUGAUUGUUGAGGUGAUUGUAACUCUUUGUUGUUAGGGUUUAGUUGCCUAGCGGCAAUGGCGGUGUUCAUCGCCAUGGCAAGGAGGACAAAGAUGAGGAAGGUCUUCAUGUUGGAUUUGUGGUUACUACUGCUUGCUUGCCUUUGAUGCUUGUGGUCUAGGUGUGUGAAGUUUUGUUGAUGGAAGGUGUCCUUGGUGGUGCAUGUGUAUUUAUAGUUUUCAUGGCAUGGCUUGCUUUCAUCUUUGCACUCGCUCUUUGAAAAAGUGCAUCAAUGCUUAUCCAACUAAUCAUUUGGUUUGUUGUGUUUGGUGCAACUACUUACUAGUGAGAUUUUGGAUUUUCAUGAUAGUUGUUUUUUGUUGAAAUCAUCUGGUUGUAAGGAAUGUUGGAUAAUGACCAAUGACUCAUCUUCUUCACUUUACACUGCAAACAUUGAUCUAGAUUAUGUCCCUUUUUGAAAUUUAGUUUGUGGAGCUCUACAUGUUGUUAGGCUUAUCCAUAUUGGCAUAGCUUGAGUGGAGCUAAGUUUGUAAGCUUGUGUGCGCCAUUAUGAUGGAUCACACUAUUAAUGUGAUGAUUGUUUUACAAAUUAUCUUUCCAAAACUAACUUUAUGUUUUUUGCCCAAUAUGAUUCUAAGACGGAUAACCAGACAUGACUCAUCAAAUAACAAGAUAAACCGAGUAGCAAGUUGGGGGUUAUAAGUUAUAAUAUGGACUUUUCUCUAAGAUACACCAUCUUGUCUUGCAUGCUCUGUGGAUUUGAAAAGCAUCUACUAAUUUAGAUGCAAUUGAAACAAAAGUAGACUAAAAAGGUAAGCAAUGAAAUGAGAAUACUAUUAUGUGAAGCUCUACAUGUCUGGUAAGCAGUGAGAUACUGGAUACAUCUAUAUCUUCAAUCCUUUCAUCCCUAUCAACUCUUUAUUGGCUGCUUUUAUCGUAGUCAUCCCUUAAAUAAAAAUCACUUAAAUAUAAGUUUGGGAGUUAGUACCAACAUAUAUCAUGUACAAGAUAGAAAACUAAGGCACAUAUAGUAGUCUAUUGACCAUAUUUAAUUUCUUGUGAUGUGAAAGCAUGUGGAGUAUAAGUUGGUUAAAUAUAAAGUUGUCCUUCAUACCAGUAGGGAAAGAAUAUGCAGUAUAAAGAUUAGAGCAUUGGACUAAUAUGCUAUUAAAUGCUACAGGAUAAUUGACAGUUCAAGUUAAGAACAACAUUAGCAUUCCAACUUUUGUCUUGUGCAAGUUAAGAACAUGCUAACAAAGUAACCUAAGCAAAUAAGUGCAAAACCUUCACCUAUAAGGAAAUUGUGAAACUACACAAAAUGACCUAUUGUAAAGAAGGAAAAAAAUCUAAAGGUGAAUGAAAGAACGUUAAGUACAUUCAGGAUUCGAUUAUGCCUUCAUGGAUAACCUUUUAGAUGGUGACAUGUCCAUGUUGAUGUGUGUCGGCAUGGAACGAGGACAAGAAGACGUCGUUGCGUCGUACUUUGGGAAUUUCAUCAAACUGGUUGUGUGCGGGAACAAAUAUUUGUCGCCUCCCUGCUCAAAUCUCUCUUCAUGUCACUGAAUCCGACACUCCACCUACCAAAAUCAGCUGCAAGCCAGGGAUAAUCAACGGGUUUCUCCGCCCGUAGCAUCUAUCACCAAAAGUAGUUCAGACUAUAGUCUUGUAGUUCAAAAUUUUGUAAUAACAAGCACUACUAGGUUGCUUUUGUUUGUACGUCUUCAUUCUGUACAACCCAUGGAACUAAAAAUGCAUUGGUCAUUCUUUGUUCUAUACAACCAAUUCAACCAAAAAUGCAUUGGGCUUUUCUUUGUACAUCUUCGGGUUCUACAACCAAUGCAACAAAAAAUCCAUUGGGUAGUCUUCCAUUCUAGUCGGGCACCAACAGUUAAAUGAGGAGCUAAACAAUGUUGGAGUCUAAAACUACAUACAAUCAUGAAGCAUAGAGAGGCGACUUGGAAGCUGUGCUCCUGUGAGCUCGUAUUUUUGUAGACAAAAAGUAAUGUUUGUAUUUUGAAGUGGGAAAAAAUCCUAAAAAGGGAUGUUUUGCGGGUUAUAACUUACUAUUUUUGGGUCCUGGGCUGCAGGAAGGUCGUCAAAAUCAAUGUGUUUUCCCAUUCAAUGCAUGUUUCUUGGGUUAUAGGUCACGCUUUUGGUGUCCUAGGGAGAUCACUUCCCCGGUCAAGAACAUUAGGUGAUGAUUUUUAGAAAAACUCAUUGUUUUAGCCUAACUAGUUUCGAGGAUUGGUGGACGGGAUUAUCAUGGAACAAAGUGACAACCUUCCUUUUCUUCAUGCCUAAUAUAAACUUAGCAGUCAGCUAAAAGUAACUAGCGAUAUCACAGAAUGUUUUUUGUCAAAAGUAGAUACCACUUCAGGAUUCAACUCGGUUAGUUCAAUCACAGACAUGUUAAGAGCAGGAUUUACAACUAACUGCAUAGGGAACAUCUCCUUUUAUCACCCACUAUCUGUCUGUGCACUUUGGUUUUCCCGUAGCAUCACACAAAGCACUUUGUUAGUACCAAUAAUGUGCUCCAACUCUACACAUUAAUCAUCUUGAAUUCUUCUACUGAUGUCGAACAAUGUAAUAUCUUGAAUUCUUCUAACGAGUUCGGAUUAGACUACAUGGGCAAUUUAUCUGGUCCCUGAGAUGCAAGGUCGAUGAACAAUCGCUUCGUCUUAUGACGAGGGGUUGUUUUUGCCUAAGAAACUAAUACAUGUAACUUCGACACCGGAUUAAUAAAUGGUAAAACCUAAAUAAAUUAGAUCACGAGCUAAACCAUUUACUUUUGUAUGCAUUUAAACUUUUGAUACAUAUGAGCUUGUUAAGAUGUUCGCAUAAACACCAUGGUGAUUUGAAGCAAGACAAAGUAAACUUGAACCGCUUGAGCCACUGACUUAAUAAGAACCUCCUUUCCCGCGGCAGAGAUUGUUUUUAAUACAUCCACUCACUUUGGCCCAUAGUUUGUCUUUGAGAUACUUAAAAGCACUAGACAUAGAAUUGACAAUAUUAGAAGGCAAGCCCAAAUAUUUCACAUUUAGUGUUUCUACUUGGACACUGAGACCACCUUUGACCUCAUUUUUGACAUUCUCUCUGCAAUCCUUGCUGAGAAACACUGAAGGCUUCCUAUUUAUUUAUUCUUGACCUAAAGCUUCAUUGCGUCUUGCCUUGGUCUUGCACUACUUGCGGCACAAUACGCCUUUGGAACUGCCGUUCCGAAUUCAGAGUGCCGAAGGUGGUGUGACGAUGUUGAGAUACCGUACUCGUUCGGUAGUGAUUCGGGUUGAUCAUUCAGAGUAGACUUUGACAAUAGCUGCAAGGACAAGAUUGCAUUAGGGAGCCUUUUAAUUACACCUCGGAGGUGCUCAGCAUCUUCUUGAUGAACAACAUGGUCCUAGUGUUGAAUAAUAUCAUAUGGGGUAGUGCUACAACAACUCCACCACAAGCAUGGAGGAAUUUAGCAAAUUCCAUCAGUACUAGGAGAAAGCCUAGUAGCAACGCGAGGUAAAGGACUACUAGUAGCGCGGGUGCCCACGCUACUACUAGGGUGCUACAGCUAAUUGGUAGUAGUAGCGUGGGUGACACCCUGCGCUACUACCACGUCUGUUAGUAUAGUAGCGCGAGUGUCACCCGCACUACUACUAGUUAUCUGUAGCCCGGGUCUGACCCCACGCUACUACUAACUAAUUAGGAAUUAAAAAAAUAAAUUCCAUCCAUGGUUGCUGCUGCUGGGCGUCAUCGUCCUCUCCGUCCAUGGCUGAUGUUGGUCCUGGAGGGGAUGACGUCGUCCAUGGUGAUGGUACUUCCUCACCCAAAUCGUCCCCACACCUCUCCUAUGCUACUGCUACAAAAUAAGAGAAAACGAUUAGAAGAGGAAGAGAGAUAUUGAGAGGAGUAGGAGGAGCAACUGACCGGUGGCCGCCGGAGUUGGAGCUGAUGCCCGAAACCCUAGACGAUGCCCGGUGACCUGUUGCUUCUUUUCCUGGGACCUCAUGUCCUCACAAGGCCAUGUCUCAGCGAGGAAGUGCAAGUGGUUGCGUAGCAGAUCUGUUCAUCGCCAUUGGUGGCGCUCUGUUGGAUCUUCCUCUCCUUCCAGCAUCGGAGAAGGAGGAGGAAGGAGGCGAAGGUGAGGCGUAAGUCAGUGGCCCAAAAUUUUUAUAUAGAUGAGACUUACUAAGUAAUAACCCCAUAGAAUCUAUCUAUAUAAAGAUAAAGAGGCAAUCGUGUCAGGAAGCGGGUUUUUCUUUGGCCAAAAGGUACUUAGAACUUGGAACGAGCAUGAAGAGAUUAACGAGACUUCUUUCUCUUUUGAGUUUUUCUGGCGGACCUGCCGCGCAAGAUCUUUGGUCUUCCCCUGGAACCGAUGAAAAAAAGUGGAUUGCUUCUUAUGUACUCGCUCAGCUUAAGAUGCUCGCAUAAUCCCCGUGGUAAUUUGAAGCAAUACAUAGAGUAAACUAGAACUGCUUGAGCCACUAACUUAAUGAGAACCUCCUUUCCCGUAGGAUAUAUCAUUUUUUCAAUCCAUCCAUUCACUUUGGCCCAUAGUAUGUCUUUGAGAUACUUAAAAGCAGUAGAUUAGAAUUACCAAUAUCAUAAGGCAAGCCCAAAUAUUUCUCAUUUAGUGUUUCUGUUGGACACUGAGAACACCUUUGACCUCAUAUCUAACAUUCUCUACACAACCCUUGCUGAGAAACACUGAAGACUUGCUAUUAUUUAUUCUUUGACCUGAAACUUGGCAAUAGGUUUGACACAUCUGUCGCCCCUGAACCAUUUGCCUUGAAAAACAGCAGGCUGUCAUCUGCAAAUAACAAGUGGUUAACUGAUGCCACCAAAGGAGCUACUUGGAUUCCAGUAAACUGGGAUGACUAGUCUCUAGAUUUGAGGAGGCCCGAAAGGCCAUGUACUGCUAACAGGAAAAUCAAGGUGAAUUGGAUCUUGCUGCCGUAUACCACGGGUAGGUUUGAGCUCAUCAAGUUUCUUGCUCUUGAAUAAAAUUGAAUAAGAUACAGAAGCUACCAUGCUCAUUUCUAUGGAGGCCCAUUUAACAGAGAAUCCAAAGUUGAGAUUUAUCACCUCCAAAUACGCCCAUUCAACUAGAUUAUAAGCCUUCAUCAUAUCCAAUUUUAGAGUACAAUGGUGAUGUUACAAUGACUUAUUCCUUUUCAUGAAAUGUAAGCACUCGUAGGCCACGAUUAUAUUGUCAGUGAUAAGGCGACCCGGAACAGAAGCCGACUCUUCACUCAAUAUUAUCUCCGGAAGGGCCCCUUUUAGCCGGUUAGCCAGAACUUUGGGUGUUAUUUGUAAAGUUGCAUAGGCUAAUACGACAGAACUGGCUUAGGAAAGUACCAUUUUGUACCUCAUCACUAUCCUCGCCACAAUACAAAGGACAACCAUUGUUACCUCCUCGCCGCAAAUAUCCCAAUGUUUCUCAAAGAAAUGUUCAAAGAAUCCGUCCGGGCCCAAGGCCUUCAUGCGGAACAUUUGAAACAAUACAAUUUAAACCUUGUUGUAGAAUACUUAGCGUCAAGGAAGGCAUUCAUCGCAUCACUGACCUUUACUGGAACCAAGUCAGGAAAUCAUGCAUAUUAGAAACAGUCUCAGAAGUGAAAAGCUCCGAGUAAAACUAUGUUGUGAUCUCUUCCAAUUCCUUAAGAACACUGAUAACAUCACAUUAGGUUGCUACAAUGAUUUGGUCAAAUUAUUCCGCCUUCUCAUCGAAGCCCUUAAGUGAAAGAAGCAUGUGGUCUUGUCCCCACUAAUCAGCCACUUAAUCUGAGAUCUAGUAGGCAAGAUGAGUGACGGGAAGUAGUUCGGAACAAUUUCCUCUUAUUCACUUCUAAAACAAAUUUUCGGUUUUUGUCGUUCCUAAGCCAAGGAUUUGAUAAAUAUUCAUAAAUUUUUAAAAUGUUCACCAAUAUUAAAAACAUCAUGAUUUUAAAAAACCGUGAUUUUUAAACAAAAUCAUAAAUAUGAAAAUUGCCAUUCACAAAAUUUUAAAAUAAAAUCAUGAAUUUUAAAAGAAUUUUCAAAAUUUUGAUAAAUAUCUACGAAUUUUACAACUUUGAUGAAUUUUAAAAACAAACCAUAACAAAAAAACACUAGCAAGUUCGAUCCUAAAAAAUGCCUUGCCUUCUACUAUGCGUAGCGUGCAUGGACAGCCGGACCUAGACACCCUAGACCAAAAACCCUACAUCUGGGCCAGGCCCGAGCUCCAUUUUUUGGCCCAAAGCCCAGCCCAAAAAGGCAGAAAUGGUAAGAAAUGUAUACUUUAUUCAAAAUAUAGGUAUAUUAUAUUGUUUUAGUAUCUCAAAUAAUUAUUUAAAUUGAAAAAUGUCGUUGUUCAUGUGUUUCUGGACGGGCCAAGCCAGGCUCAUGCUUGGGAUUUUUGCUUCGGGCUUUGACAACCUGGCCCGGGGUAUGAUCAAGUUCAGCAUGGCCCAGUCACACACCCUUGUACAACAUUUUGUUGUAGAGAGCGGCAAAUAUAAUUUUCCCGAUCUAAUAUUGCUCGCUAUAAGUCUAUAUCUAUACUUUUUUCUAUACCCAUACUAAUAAAGCAAGGUGCGUUUCCCCAAUUUUUUCAUUCAUUCACUGUCGAAAACAAUUAUGUUUCCUAUCCGAGGUGGUCCUAAAUUCUUAUGCGUUCAUCUGCUAAAAGAAAGGCUUUUCCGGAAUUUCUUACGUGGGUUGCGCGCUAUGGCCAGUGAAGUCAGCCCACUUAUUUUUCUGCCCAUGCAGCUCUAAAAAAUCUAUUUAACACACAGGGCAAGAAAUAGUCGGCACUUCAAACUGGAAAACAAAUAAUGGGCUAGCCAAUUUUUCUUUGUUUCUGUGUUUUAUUUCUAUUUUUAUUCUCCUUCCCCGAUUUCUUUUUUCACUUCCAAGUUUACAUUUCUUAUAGAAUUUAUUUUAUAAAUUCAAAAUUCUCAAAAAACAUAGAGAAUUUUAAAAAAAUGGAAAAUGUUCAUAACUCCAAUUUUUUUGCUAUUUAAAUUUUUUUCAGAACUUGAAUUUUUUCCCUUUUUCCGAAAAUUUUAUUGUUUUUUAAAAUUGUUAGAGAUUUCUAAAAAGAAAAUGGAAAUUUAAAAAGUCUUCCAAAUUCGAAAAAAAAUCAUGUUUUAGUGAAAUUUUCACAACUCAAAUUAUUCUUAAAAAAUACACAUUUUAAAAAGUAAGGAUUUUCAAUACAUGUUCCCGUUCUAAAAAAAUGUUGACAAAUUCAAAUAAUGUUCAUGUUUUUAUUUUAAAAGUUCGUGUUUUCAAAAAUGUUUGUAAAUUCUAAAAGAUGUUCCUAUUUCAUAUUUUGUUCAUGUUUUUCUGAAAGUGUACCUAAUUUUCAAAAAACUGUUCAGGAUUUAAAAAAUGGUUCAUGUUGCCUACAAUAUUGAGAAACUUCAUACCUUAAAAUCUCCUCGAUUGAAGGAACCAUAGAUUGAAUAAUUCAUGGGCCUUCUCUGGUGGACGAUGACGUAGCAAAACUCUUAAAUGCCCUCAAUCAAUGAAUGGAAAAAUAGCGAAUUGAGUACUUCACACCCAGCGAAACAAAGAAGCUAAAUGUUCCCUUUUUACGUGCGCACAGGGUUUUGCUUGCACAAAUAAUUCUCACUAACUUCCAAUGCAUACUAAUUUUUCUCCCAUUGCGAAGCACAAGCAUAUGUGCUAGUUUUAUCCACGGUGGUACUAAAUUUUUUUGAGUCCAUCUGCUAGAAAAAGGAAAAACAGUUUUGUCAAAAUUUUCGUACAUGGGCCGCGCGCGCUGUGGCCCAGCGAAGCUGGCCCAUUUAUUUCCGGCCGAAGCAGCUGAGAAUAAUUAUUUAACGCUUGGGGCGGCAAAUAGACAAAGUUUCGCAUAGGGCGCCAAAUAUUUGGUCGGCCCAUAUUUGUUUUCUCUCUAGUUUGUUUCUUUUUUUAUUUUCCUUUCUCCUUUUCUUAUCUCUUUACUUUUUCUUUUUUCCCUUUCAAGUUAAUUUUUCUUUUCUCCUUUUCCAUAAAUUAAAUUUUUCAAUAUUUCAGAAUUUUAGUUUUGGAUUAAAUUUUCGUAAAAUCUUCAUAAUUAUUUCUCCCCAUUUUGAAUUGUUUUUAAACUAUAAUUUUUUCUUCUUCUUCUUCCAAAAUUUAUUCAAAACUAUAGAAUAAAGUUCGCAUAUUAAUUUUUUUAUGCUUUCCAAAAUUGUUUGAUAUUUUCAAAAUAUAUUGCAUUAAAAAAUUAAAUAUUUAGAUUUUAUUGAAAUGUUAAUUCAAAGUAAUGUUUGUGUUUAAAAACAUGUUUUUCAAAAUUCUUUUCAAUGUCCAAAACACGUUUUCAUUUCCAAAAAAAAUCACGUAUUCAAAACAUGUUUGCUUUCUUAUAAUAGGUUCAUGUUUUCAAAAAACAUAAAUUUCAAAAAAAUUGUCACAUCUUAAAGAAUAUUCAAAAUAUCGUAAUUAUUACUUUAUUUUUUGAAAAAAAUCAAGAAAAACAGAAAAAAAAAUGUAUAUUAUGCUACAGUAUAUUCUUAAAAUUUCGCCCUCGCCAUUUGUUAGCAUGAGCUGUUUGUUCGAGUGGCUAGCAGCACGUGGUCGAGUUUUUGAGGUCAUGAGUUUGAUCCUUCAACUCAGUGGUUGUUUUGGAUUUUUAUUCACGCCUUACAAAUACAAGUCAUUUUGGUACCUGCCAGCGGCCUUGCCAGACUCGAACUGCCGUGCAUCCGACGUGCUAUUUGACGAUAAAAGAGAAUAUGUUGCUUGACUAUAAUUAAAAAAAUGUGGGCACAUGCCAAUAAAAGAGGAUAUGCUGGUUUGACUCUGAUUAAAAAAAUGUUGGCAAGUGAGCGUCGAAAUAAUUAAAGAGAAUAAACCCUGGUAAAGUAGGGACUACCUGGUUACGUGCUUAUUAUACCAAAGAAACGGGAUUUCCUGCAAUUAGUACUUCAACCGGUUACACCAUCAUAGGAGAGAGUAGUCGAAGCAACUAUGCCACGAAGGUCGCCGUGCUGCACAAAAUGAGGAGGCAACCGCAACCUAGACACGGAGGCAGACUCGGAGAAAAAAAAGCGCAAGUUGGGUGGUGGCCACCACUCCAGCAACCCCAUCAAUAUCAAGAACUCGUGGGCCAAACAUGAUCUCAAGAACAUCGCCGGGGAGACCUUUUGAUGGACACAUCAAUUAUCUCUCCUGAUACUUCUCGUUAAAAAUAUCUUUCUAGUUCUAACGCACGGGCAUAUGUGCUAGUGAUAUAUAAAAUAUGUUGUGCCAAUGAGCACACGGGCUAGCGAGACUCGCCAUGCUUUCAUGUCAUACCGGAGUCCAAACACUCAACUGGAGGGUCCAACCUUAGCGACAGAGUCUUCUUUUGUUGGGAGAAUCUAUAUAUCCGCGAGUGUUAUAUCUCGCAUCUGGUUUACGCGCAGUGCACCUAACCACUAGGCUUUGCCUUACAUUCAUGACAGAGUAGUAAAGCUAGAUUGUUUAAGUCCACACGAGUCAAGGUUUUCAAUGUUUCUUCUCCAUUUUUUUUCAUUUUUUCAUUUUUGUUUUUAUAUUUAUUUCUGUCGGGUUUGUUUGAUCCCUUUCGAGGGCAUAAUAGAGGAACCACACCGUGGUGAUGUGGAUGGGUUUAUAGAUACCAUCACUGUAGGGGAAACGAGGAAGGUUUUCGAUGCACGAAUCACUAGCAUACAUUUUCAUGUUUUACGCUAAUUUGCAAUAUUUGCUAGUCGUUGCUUAAUUGGUUGCGGAAACUGUGGAAACCUUAGUGUUCCUGAUAUUAUUAUUUUGUUCCACGGUUUAUUCUGUGAUAACUCUAUUAGUAUGGGCGGUAUUAUUCCUAAAUGGUUAAGUCUGAACUGUACAAAGGGCCCCAUCUUUGGAGGCAUCUAUGCUUCACACCUAGCUGCGCAUUUUAACAUAGCUAUUAGGCAUUAUGAGAAGGAAGAAAAAUUGCUACCCCCUGUUUAUUUAGAUUAUAAUAGUAUGGUGGCACAUGAUUUUAUUGUUAAGAAUAAGGAAGGGGAGCUUAAAUACAAAUUGUUCUUUGAUAAACAUCAUCCUGAGACUAUUACCCUGCCUGCUCCUUCCUUGUUUGAUUUAUCUGCAGGCAAGUACCUCGUUCCAUUAGAGGCUAUUCACGCCUACCGAAACCCUACAUCAGCCAUAGAGCCAGAGUCGGAACCACAAGUUGAUUCUCCAUGACAGUCUAAUUACCAUUGGGAUCCAGAAAUGAUUGCCACCAGUGGCAAUCAGAGUCUUCUUCGCAGUACGACCCCAACUAUUACUAUGGAUAUCCGCCAGGCCAGCCGUGGCCAUAGACCAACUUAGGUCAAAAGCCUAAACUUGGGGGAGUACGUAUUUCCCGCCGACAUUACAUUCAUGUUCGCACACUCAUUGCUAGAUGUCGGUGCUCAUACUUUUUCAUUGUAUCAUCCAUACUAGUUCAUUUCCUUUUUAAGCUUUCUUCUUGUGUGUUUAAUAAACCUUAAGAAAAACCAAAAACAUUAGUUGUAGCUUUUAGCUAGUUUUAAUUUCCAUGCUCGUAGUAGUAAUUAAAAAGAAAACCCAAAAAAAAGAUUUCAUGUUCUUCUUUUGCUUGUUGGGAGCUUUCCCGUGUAAAUAGUUUUAUUUCUUUUCUUUUCUUUGGGGGUCGAUAGGAGAAGACCAUGAUUAAAUUGUUGAAGUGGCUCUUAUAUGUAUUUUUGUUGAUCUGACAAAAGAGCCCAUAUUGCCUCGACUUCUCCUGUUUAUUGAAUGCUUGCAGAUUCCAGCUUAGUCCAAUGCACGUGCACUAUUAUUAUUAUCCACAUCAUUCGGUCGUGCAAGUGAAAGGCAAUUAUGACGAUAUAUGAUGGACUGACUGAGAUGAGAAAAGCUGGUAUGAACUCAACCUGUCUUGUUUUUGUAAAUAUGAUUAGUUCAUCGUUCCUGAUUCAGCCUAUUAUGAAUAAACAUGUUUGCAAUGACAACUAGAGAUCAUAGUUUCUUGUGCCAUGCUUGAUUAGCUAGGAGCUUAUAAUGGUUUACCUUGCGUGCCAACAUGCUAUUAAAAUGGUUGUGAUGUGGUAUGAUAGGGUGGUAUCCUCCUCUGAACGAUUCGAGUGGCUUGACUUGGCACAUAUUCACGCAUGUAGUUGAAACAAAAUCAACAUAGCCUCUACGAUAUUUAUGUUCAUGGUGAAUUAUAUCCUACUCAUGCUUGCAUUCGGUGCUGAUUAAUUUUAAUGCAUGUUUAUGACUGUUGUCGCUCUCUAGCUGGUCGCUUCCCAGUCUUUUGCUAGCCUUCACCUAUACUAAGCGGGAAUACUACUUGUGCAUCCAAUCCCAUAAACCCCAAAGUUAUUCCAUAUGAGUCCACCAUACCUACCUAUUUACGGUAUCUACCUGCCGUUGCAAGUAAAUUUGUAUGUGCCAAACUCUAAACCUUCAAAUAAAUAUCAUGUUUUGUAUGCUCGAAUAGCUCAUGUAUCAACUAGGUUUGUCUGUAUCUUUCAUGUUAGGCGGGUUAUUCUCAAGAGGAGUGGACUCCGCUCCUCACUCGCGAGAAAAUGGCUGGUCACCCGGAUGCCUAGUCCCAUGCUUUAUGCAAAUCAAAUCAAAAUAAUUGCAAACAAAAUUGCCCCUGGGACUCUUGUUAGUUGGAGGCACUCGUUGUUUCGAGCAAGCCAUGGAUUGAUGCUUGUUGGUGGAGGGGGGGUAUAAAAUUUUCCAUUCUGUUUGGGAACCGCCUAUAAUGUGUGUAGCAUGGAAGAUAUCACCAUCUCUUGGUUGUUAUGUUGACAAUGAAAGUAUACCGCUCAAAAUAUUAUUUACCUCUAUUUCAAAAUCGAGCUCUGGCACCUCUACAAAUCCCUGCUUCCCUCUGCGAAGGGCCUAUCUAUUUACUUUUAUGUUGAGUCAUCAUCCUCUUAUUAAAAUGCACCAGUUGGAGAGCACCGUUGUCAUUUGCAUUCAUUACUAUUAUUUUACAUUGAAUAUGACUUGACUGGAUCUCUUUUACCAUGAAUUACAAUGUCUAGUCAGUCCUUGAUCUUUAAAGGUGCUCUACAUUUAUGUUUUGCGGUCUCAGAAAGGGCUAGCGAGAUACCAUCUUGUUAUAUCAUAUCAUGAUUGUUUUGAGAAAGUGUUGUCAUCCGAGAUUUAUUGUUAUUGCUCGCUAGUUGAUUAUGCCAUUGAUAUGAGUAAACAUGAUACAUAAAUGUUAUUGGAAUAUGGUUAGUUCAUAAUCUUUGCUGAAAACUUGAAUGCUGGCUCUACAUAUUUACAACAACAAGAGCAAACAGAGUUUGUAAAAGUUUUUCUUUAUCACUUUCAGUUUAUCAACUGAAUUGCUUGAGGACAAGCAAAGGUUUAAGCUUGAGGGAGUUGAUACGUCUCCGUCGUAUCUACUUUUCCAAACACUUUUGCCCUUGUUUUGGACUCUAACUUGCAUGAUUUGAAUGGAACUAACCCGGACUGACGUUGUUUUCAGCAGAAUUGCCAUGGUGUUAUUUUUGUGCAGAAAUAAAAGUUCUCGGAAUGACCUAAAAAUCAAAGGAGAAUUAUUUUGAAAUAUAUAAAAAAUAUUGGAAGGAAGAUCCACGUCAGGGGGGCCUCCACCUGUCCACGAGGGUGGAGAGCGUGCCCUACCCCCCUGGUGCUACCUCUUGAGCACUGCGUUGGUUUUCCCUUGAAGAGGAAAGGGUGAUGCAGUAAAGUAGUGUAAGUAUUUCCCUCAGUUUUUGAGAACCAAGGUAUCAAUCAAGUAGGAGAUCACGCUCGAGUCCCGCGCACCUACACAAACAAAUAAGAACCUCGCAACCAAUGCAAUAAAGGGGUUGUCAAUCCCUUCACGGUCACUUACGAGAGUGAGAUGUGAUAGAUAGGAUAAGAUAAUAUUUUUGGUAUUUUUAUGAUAAAGAGAAAUAAAGAUGCAAAGUAAAAUAAACAGCAAUAGAAAUAACUAAGUAUCACCUGGGCGCACCCCCCUGCCUCGUGGACCCCCUGACGCUCCACCGACCUCAACCCUGACUCCAUAUAUUCACUUUCGGGGAGAAAAAAACCAGAGAGAAAGAUUCAUCAUGUUUUACGAUAUGGAGCCGCCGCCAAGCCCUAAACUCUCUCGGGAGGGCUGAUCUGGAGUCUGUUCGGGGCUCCGGAGAGGGGAAUCCGUCGCCAUCGUCAUCAUCAACCUUCCUCCAUCACCAAUUUCAUGAUGCUCACCGCCGUGCGUGAGUAAUUCCAUCGUAGGCUUGCUGGACGGUGAUGGGUUGGAUGAGAUUUAUCAUGUAAUCAAGUUAGUUUUGUUAGGGUUUGAUCCCUAGUAUCCACUAUGUUCUGAGAUUGAUGUUGCUAUGACUUUGCUAUGCUUAAUGCUUGUCACUAGGGCCCGAGUGCCAUGAUUUCAGAUCUGAACCUAUUAUGUUUUCAUCAAUAUAUGAGUGUUCUUGAUCCUAUCUUGCAAGUCUAUAGUCACCUACUAUGUGUUAUGAUCCGGCAACCCCGAAGUGACAAUAAUCGGGACCACUCCUGGUGAUGAUCGUAGUUUGAGGAGUUCAUGUAUUCACUAUGUGUUAAUGCUUUGGUCUGGUACUCUAUUAAAAGGAGGCCUUAAUAUCCCUUAGUUUCCGCUAGGACCCUGCUGCCACGGGAGGGUAGGACAAAAGAUGUCAUGCAAGUUCUUUUCCAUAAGCACGUAUGACUAUAUUCGGAAUACAUGCCUACAUUACAUUGAUGAAUUGGAGCUAUUUCUGUGUCACCCUAGAUUAUGACUGUUACAUGAUGAACCGCAUCCGACAUAAUUCUCUAUCACCAAUCCAUUGCCUACGAGCUUUCCAUAUAUUGUUCUUUGCUUAUUUACUUUUCCGUUGCUAUUGCUAUCAUCACUAUAAAACAACAAAAACAUUACUUUUGCUAUCGUUACCUUUUGCUACCGUUACCACUACUAUCAUAUUACUUUGCUACUAAACACUUUGCUGGAGAUAUUAAGUUUCCUGGUGUGGUUGAAUUGACAACUCAGCUGCUAAUACUUGAGAGUAUUCUUUGGCUCCCCUUGUGUCGAAUCAAUAAAUUUGGGUUCAAUACUCUACCCUCGAAAACUGUUGCGAUCCCCUAUACUUGUGGGUUAUCAUUGCUCCUGCAGCGGGUCUUGCACCUAGCGGUGCUUCUAGGACGUAAUUCUUCUGUGUAGCAAUGAGGAUAAUUCUCAAGUUAUGGACCCAGUCCGUGUAGUUGCUACCAUCAUCUUUCAACUUAGCUUUCUCUACGAACGCAUUAAAAUUCAAAGGAACAGUAGCAGGGGCCAUUGAUCUACAAUAACAUAGACAUGCAAAAUACUAUUAGGUGCUAAGUUCAUGAUAAAUUAAAGUUCAAUUAAUCAUAUUACUUAAGAACUCCCACUUAGAUAGACAUCCCUCUAGUCAUCCAAAUGAUCACGUGAUCCAUAUCAACUAAACCAUGUCUGAUCAUCACGUGAGAUGGAGUAGUUUCAAUGGUGAACAUCACUAUGUUGAUCAUAUCUACUAUAUGAUUCACGCUCGACCUUUCGGUCUCAGUGUUCCGAGGCCAUAUCUGCAUAUGCUAGGCUCGUCAAGUUUAACCCGAGUAUUCUGCGUGUGCAAAACUGGCUUGCACCCGUUGUAUGUGAACGUAGAGCUUAUCACACCCGGUUAUCACGUGGUGUCUCGGCACGAUGAACUAUAGCAAUGGUGCAUACUCAGAGAGAACACUUGUACCUUGAAAUUUAGUGAGAGAUCAUCUUAUAAUGCUACCGCCGUACUAAGCAAAAUAAGAUGCAUAAAGGAUAAACAUCACAUGCAAUCAAAAUAAGUGAUAUGAUAUGGCCAUCAUCAUCUUGUGCCUUUGAUCUCCAUCUCCAAAGAACCGUUAUGAUCACCAUCAUCACCGGCUUGACACCUUGAUCUCCAUCGUAGCAUCGUUGUCAUCUCGCCAACUAUUGCUUCUACGACUACCGCUACCGCUUAGUGAUAAAGUAAAGCAAAAACAAGUGUGAUGUCCUCUACUUUGUUGUUGCAAGUUUUACGUGGCUGCUACGGGCUUCUAGCAAGAACCGUUCUUAUCUACGCCUCAAAACCACAACAAUUUUUCGUCAAGUGUGUUGUUUUAACCUUCAACAAGGAUCGGGCGUAGUCAAACUCGAUUCAACUAAAGUUGGAGAAAUAGACACCCACUAGCCACCCGUGUGUGAAGCACCUCGGUAGAACCAGUCUCAUGAACGCGGUCAUGUAAUGUCGGUCUGAGCCACUUCAUCCAACAAUACCGCCAAAUCAAAGUAAGACGUUGCUGGUAAGAAGUAUGACUAUUAUCGUCCACAACUCAUUGUGUUCUACUCAUGCAUAUAACAUCUACGCAUAGACCUGGCCCGGAUGUCACUGUUGGGAAACGUAUUAUUUCAAAAAAAAAUCCUACAAUCACGCAAGAUAUAUCUAGGAGAAGCAUAGCAAUGAGCGGGGAGAGUGUGUCCACGUACCCUCGUAGACCGAAAGCGGAAGCAUUUAGUAACACGGUUGAUGUAGUCGAACGUCUUUGCGAUCCAACCAAUCCAAACACCUAACGUACGGCACCUCCGCAUUCAGCACACGUUCAGCUCGAUGACAUCCCUCGAGCUCUUGAUCUAGUUGAGGCCGAGGGAUAGUUCCGUCAUCGCGAUGGCGUGGCGACGGUGAUGAUGAAGUUACCGGCGCAGGGCUUCGCCUAAGCACUACGACGAUAUGACCGAGGUGUGUAACUGUGGAGGGGGGCACCGCACACGGCUAAGAGAAACUUGUGUCUUUGGGGUGCCCCCUCCCACGUAUAUAAAUGGAGGGAGGAGGCCGGCCCAAGGGGGGGCGCCACAUGUGGGGAGUCCUACUAGGACUCCCUUGUCCUAGUAGGAUUCCCCUCUCCUUUCCUUUUACGGAGGGGGAAAGGGGGGAAGGAGAGGAGGGGAAGAGGGAAAGGGGGGCACGCCCCCUCCCCUUCCUAUUCGGACUCCACUUGGGGGGGACGCGCACGCCUCCCCCUUGUGGGUUGUCCCCUCUUCUCUCCCAUGGCCCAUAAGGCCCAUGAUUUCCCCCAGGGGGUUCCCGUAACCUCCCGGUACUCCGAAAAAAUUCCCGAAUCACUCGGAAUCAUUCCGAUGUUCAAAUGCAACCUUACAAUAUAUGAAUCUUUACCUCUCAACCAUUUUCGUGAUCUCAUCUGGGACUCCGAACAAACUUCAGUCAUCAAAUCACAUAACUCAUAAUACAAAUUGGCAUCGAACGUUAAGUGUGUGGACCCUACGGGUUUGAGAACUAUGUAGACAUGACCGAGACACAUCUCCGGUCAAUAACCAAUAGCGGAACCUAGAUGCUCAUAUUGGCUCCUACAUAUCUACGAAGAUCUUUAUCGGUCAAACCGCAUAACAACAUACGUUGUUCCCUUUGUCAUAUGUAUGUUAUUUGCCCGAGAUUCGCUCGUCGGUAUCCUCAUACCUAGUUCUAUCUCGUUACCGGCAAGUCUCUUUACUUGUUCCAUAAUGCAUCAUCUGGUAACUAACUCAUUAGUCACAUUGCUUGCAAGGCUUAUAGUGAUGUGCAUUACCGAGAGGGCCCAUAUAUACCUCUCUGAUACACGGAGUGACAAAUCCUAAUCUCGAUCUAUGCCAACUCAAGAAACACCAUCGGAGACACCUGUAGAGCAUCUUUAUAAUCACCCAGUUACGUUGUGAUGUUUGAUAGCACACUAAGUGUUCCUCCGGUAUUCGGGAAUUGCAUAAUCUCAUAGUCAUAGGAACAUGUAUAAGUCAUGAAGAAAGCAAUAGCAAUAAAAUUAAACGAUCAUUGUGCUAAGAUAACGGAUGGGUCUUGUCCAUCACAUCAUUCUCUAAUGAUGUGAUCCCGUUCAUCAAAUUACAACACAUGUCUAUGGUUAGGAAACUUAACCAUCUUUGAUUAACGAGCUAGUCUAGUAGAGGCAUACUAGGGACACUCUGUUUGUCUAUGUAUUCACACAUGUACUAAGUUUCCGGUUAAUACAAUUUUAGCAUGAAUAAUAAAGAUUUAUCAUGAUAUAAGGAAAUAUAAAUAACAACUUUAUUAUUGCCUCUAGGGCAUAUUUCCUUCAGGAAGAGCAUUGCGGGUGGGAGGGAGAAGGGGAAUUAAGAGAGUGUAGGUUUCGGUUUGGGCCUCCGCGCGCUAUGUGUACACAUGUGUUGGUGGGUCAAUAGUAGUGGCGCCAGGUUUAUACCCCACACUACUACUAUGGCCUAUCCCGGGGGUACGAUAGAGACCACUUAGUAGUAGCGAGGGAUUUAUACCCCUCGGUACUACUAUCAACUUAGUACUAGUGAGGGAUUUAUACCCCUUGCUACUACUAUCAACUUAGUAGUAGUGAGGGAUUUAUACCCCUCGAUACUACUAUGGCCAGUCCCGGGGGGCACGGUGGAGACCACUUAGUAGUAGUGUGGGGUUUAUACCGCUCGCUACUACUAUCAACUUAGUAGUAGCGUGGGUUCUAUACCCCUCUCUACUAAUAAUUAGCAGCAGUGUGGCCCAUAUACCCCUUGCUACUGUUAAGCAUCUAUCUAUAAAUUAUUUUCUAGUAGUGCAUCAAUGGCGGCGAAAUCAGUCAUUCUGCUUGUUUUCCCUACUAGCUCUCUGACGUCCAGAACAAGUUUACGGUCAUAAGGUGCAAUGCCCUUGCCUUCAUGAGUGACACGAUGACACGGGAACGGGCUUCCAAGCCUAUGGUGUCGCAUCGUGUCGUGGUCUGCUAAACUUAGUGGACGGAUGCUACUCCAAUAUCGGUUGAUCCUAUACUACGGUACCAAGGAAGACACGCAACUACUAUAUAUAUUUCUUCAAGUCAGUCAACACAAGUAAACUCUGGGAGUUCAACUGGUGCAGCUAUGCAAUGCUAAUGGAGACAACACAAUUCAACUUUAGCACUUCACACAUAAGAAAAACCACGUUCAAUGGCACACACCUUAGAGUGUACCUAUGGUGGUUGAAUGGGCUAUAAGAAAUGUGAGUCCAUGUGAAGAUGCCAAACAUAAUAACACGGCUAAUUACACAUGCAGUGGCAGCAGCAACAAGUGCGUGAAUUCAACAAAUGAUCUAGGGUACACAUGCAACGGUGUCCUUGAGUAUGACAACAACCCUUAUCUUCUAGACAAAUGCAUGGUAUGCUACUAAUUUAUUUGCUACAAAUUCCAAUGAAUUGUGUCCUUUGCUUUGUACAUACCCAAUUAUAAUAUUUUAUUAUGCUAAUACAAUGUAGCCUUCAAUUUAAACCAAGGUUUGCAUCCAUUAAUUAUGUUAGGUUCAUAUGACUUCACUACAUAAAUAGGUAGAUAAUGCAUAAGACUGAGAUUGUAGCUAGGGAUGAAAAUCUAAAUACGGCAUGAAUCUAACAAUUAUGAGUAAUGUCUUUGUGACAAGAACUUUCUUUGUCUUUUAUUCCCAUGUUUGAACUAGUAUAGGUCAGGGUUACACAUUAUGGUGCACAUCACUUUAUUUGUCACCGUUACAUUGAACACCCAUUGACUAAACAACGAUAAUCCAUCCGUCUUGUAUUACAGGUCUUCAUUUCAUUGGCCACCGAUGCUUGUAAGACUACUCCCAGAUGGUUGUUGUUGUGGAUAUGGUUGUUGAGGUUGGUGUGGUUGCUGGGGGAAUGGUUGUUGGGGUUGCUGGGAAAUUGUUUGUUCUAGUUGCUGGGAUAAUUGUUGUUGGGGCUGCAAAAAUGGUUGUUGUGGUUGCAGGAUGGAUGGUUGCUGGGGUUGGGGCUGGGGAAAUGAUUGUUGUGAUUGUUGGGGUUGCUGGGAAAAUGGUUGUUGCGGUUGAAGGGGGAAUGGUUGUUGUGGUUAUAGAGGGAAAGGUUGUUGUGGUUGUUGAGGGAAUGGUUGUUGUGGUUGUUGNN
rnacentral:lncRNA from 1 species